rnacentral:lncRNA from 1 species
CACUCCCACCUUCUCCUGAAUAAUCUCAUUCCUUACUCUGUCCCCUAUAGUAAUCCCACACAUCUAGCAAAACAUUCUUAUUUCAGCCACCUUCAACUUUUGGUUGCGAGAGCGGUUGACUAUCUAUUAUUACUCUCUAUUAUUCUACAGUAGUAAUCAUAAAAUAACUUGGGAGAACAGUGGAUCAAUAAACAAUAGUCCAGACUCCGGUAAGAAUGCAGUUUACUAGCUAAAAUAUUAUAUACUAUAUUCUGGCAGAAAAUAGAGCUAAAUUCUAGUAUGAUUCAUGUACUUUAUUGUAGAAAAAUAUGACAAUAUAAAACCAUAUGAAAGCAUACUAUACAUUAAUUUCAAUGGACGAUAAUAUGUGGAAAUAUUAUAAAAAUAUUGAGUUCUUUUUUAUGCUGAGGGUCUAUCGGAAACAACCUCUUUACCUCGUAAAACAAGGAGAUAAAUAUGUUUUCUUAUACAAGCCUAGUAAAGAAUGUCAUUUAGAGGGAGUUAUUCAUUUUCAAAUUUGUUUCCAAGGCUACUCCUGUUGGUUCCAUCGCAUUUCCUAGUAUUGGAAUGUGCCGAUUUUCUUGGUUUAAAUUAAUUUACUUGGAGCUAAAGUACUUGGUUGAAAUUAAUUUUCUUGGACCAAAGUUUUGAAAAUUAUGGAGGAAAUCAAAGUAGAUAUUGUUUCUUACUAGGUGGCGAAGUCAUUCAUUGCAUAUAUAAGGAGGGGAAAUUCUUCAUUCUCAAACACACCAAAAAAAAGAGAAAAGAGAAAGAAGAAUGAGGCAUCACAGAGGGUUUAGUCUGUGAGGAAUAAUAGAGAGUGUGAGUGAUAUUGUAGUGAGAUGGGAAAAUUAAAAGAGGGAUAUUUAUUUUGAGUGCGUAGUGUUCUUUGGAGUAUUUUACUUGCACUAUAAGUGUAAAAUUCCUUACUAUAGUGAUAUCAGUUUCUCCUCUAGGCCCAUAGUUUUCCCCUUAAAGGGUUUCCACAUAAAAAUUUUGGUGUCACUGUCACUCUUUGUAUUCUUGUUGAUUGAUCGUAUUAUUAUUGUGUUAUGCAUUUAUUACUUUUAUUACUGCAAAUAUUAUUUUUGUGGCAGGGUUUAUCCCUAAUAAUUAUUUUGAGAGCACAGGUUUUAAUCAUUAGUAGAAUUAAUUUUUGCGGUUGGUUGUACUAUACUCGAUAAAAAAAAUGCAUGGAGUAAAGUACAAGGUAGUAAAAUUCAAUGUGAUAGAAAUUUCUCAACAUGAUAGAGAAGAAUGAGGGAUCUUGUCAUCCAACAAGGAUUGCACAAGACAUUAAGCGGAAAAUCCAAAAUGCCCGAAUCCAUAAAAAAUAUAAGAUUAAAAAGAAAUGGAAGAAAAGCUCACUAGUGCAAUCAGGUUACACUUAAUUGAUGAUACGGUUAAGAACAUCAUCAAUGAAUAUAGUGCAUGUGGUAUUUAGACAAAGUUAGAAAAUCUAUGCAUGUCCAAGUUGCUGACAAAUAAAUUGUACCUAUCAAAGCAGUUGUACACCCUACAUAUGGGUGAGGUAUGAUUUUUUGUCACAUUUAAAUGUUCUUAAUGGACUAAUCACACAACCAUCUAACCUUUUAGUAAAGAGUGAGGAUUAAAAUAAAGCCAUCAUACUCUUGAACUCGUUGGCAUUUUCUUAUGAUACUUUGCAACAACCAUCUUAAAUAGUAAGGACUCUAUUGAGCUGAAAUAUGUCACAUCAACUCUUUAACACAAUGAGAAGAUAAGAAAGAAGCUUGAAAAUCAUAGGAAAUAUCUCAUCAUAAAAAGUAUAGGUGGAGUCUCCAAUGAAGUUCAAGCAAUUAUUCUAGAUUCUGAGGUCGUAGAAAGUCCAAAGUCCGAUCUAAAUCAAAAGUCAAAACUUGCUAUAAUUACAAUCACCUAGGUCACUUGAAAAGAGAUUUUCCAAAUUUAAAAUAGGGCAAAGGUGAAAGCAAUGUCCAAAAGAAUGACGACAACACAACAUCCACAGUGCAAAAUAAUUAUAAUGUUGUUUUCUUCAUAAAUGAGAAACAGGAGUGCAUGCACUUGGCAGGGAUAGAGUCAAAAUGGUUGGUUGACACACAACAUGUUACUAUGCUACACUAGUAAGGGAUUUUUCUGCAAGUAUAUAGCAGGUAAUUUUGGCACUAUGAAAAUGGAUACCUCAAGUUAUUCAAAUAUUAUGGUAAUCGAGAACAUUAGUAUCAAUACAAAUGUCGGAUGCAUAUUGGUUCUAAUAGAUAUGCUUUAUGUACCUAACUUGCGAUUGAGAUUGAUCUUGAAAAUUUCUUUGGGCAGAGAUGAAUAUGAUAACUAUUUUUAAAAUUAAAAUAAAGACUCAGCAAGAGAGCAUUAGUGAUUGAAAAAGGAGUUGUCGUGGCACAUUCUAUAGGGCAAUUGCAAAAAUAUACCAAGGUGAACUAAACGCAGCUCAAGAAGAGAUUUCUACAAAUUUGUUUCAUAAAUGAAUGGACCAUAUAAGCGAAAAAGGAUUGUGUAGUCUUUCUAGAGAUCACCCAUCUCUUUUGUCAAAGGUACGAUGGAAAAACUGUAUGUCUCACUUAUUUUGGAAUCAGCAUAGAGUCUCACUUCAAACAUCAUCUGAAAGAAAGUUGAAUUUACUUGAUUUGGUAUAUUUGGAUAUUUGUAGACCAAUGGAGCUAAAAUUGAUGGGUGGUAACAGAUACUUUGUUACUUUUAUUAAUGAUGCUUCACAAAAAUUAUGGGUUUAUAUCUUAAAAACCAAAGAUCGGAUGUUUUAAGUAUUCCUAAAGUUUUAUGCUCCAGUGGAAAGAGAGACAAGUCAAAAGCUAAAUCGUCUCUACACUAACAAUGGAGGUGAGUAAACUUCAAAAGAAUAUGAAGAGUAUUGUUUAUUUCAUGGGAUUAGACAAGAGAAGAUAGUUCAACUUGUUACAUUAUAAAUCGUAGUCCAUCAGUCCUAUUGGAGUUUAACAACCCAGAGAGAGUUUGGACCAACAAAGAGGUGUCUUACUCACAUCUAAAGGUGUUAAAUUGUAUAAGUUUUGCACAUGUACCAAAGGAACAAAGAAUAAAGUUAGAUAAUAAAUCAGUUCCUCAUAUUCAUUGGGUGUGAAGAUAAAGUGUUUGGGUACAGACUAUGGGAUCCUGUAAAGAAUAAGGUUAUUAAAAGUAGAGAUAUAAUCUUCUGAGAAAGUGAAGUUGGAAUUAUUGAUGUUCUAUCAGAAAUGGUCAAGAAAUAGACUGGUGUAGCCCUAACCUUAUUAUUAUUUCUCCUACUUCUGACUCUACUAGAAGCAACUUGAUAAGAUUGUUGAGUAGUGAGAGCGACUUGGUUAUUAUUUUGAGCAAGUAGAGUGACCUACCCAAGAAAUAGAACAAUCUCAACCUUUGAGAAGAUUGAAAAAGUCAAAAGGUAUAGUUAUCCUAGUACCCUUCCUAAGAGUACGUCAUCGUCAAUGAUGAAGGGGUGCCAGAAACUCUUAAGGAGGUGUUGUCCCAUCCAAAAAAGAGCUAAUGGAUGAAAUAUAUUCAAGAAUAGAUGGAAUCUCUACAAAAAAAUGGCACAUAAAAUCUAGUUAAACUUCCAAAAGGAAAAGACUGCUUAAGUGCUAGUGGGCCUUUAAACUCAAGAAAGAUGGAAAUGACAAACUAGAGGGAUACAAAGCUCGAUUGGUGGUAAAAAAAAUUGAACAAAAGAAAGGUGUUGAUUUUAAUAAAAUAUUUUCACCUAUUGUCAAAAUUAGUUCCAUUCAAACCAUUUUGAGAAAAGCAAAUAGCCUAGAUCUUAAAGUAAAGCAGUUAGACAUGAAAACUAUAUUUUUACAUGGAGAUUUGGAAGAGGAUACCCAAAUGGAGCAGCCUGAAAGAUUUGAAGUAGCUGGAAAGAAACACACGAUGUUUAAAGUGAAUAAGAGUCUUAUGAGUUGAAGUAGUCACCAAGGUAGUGGUAUAAGAAGUUUUCUCAUACAUACAAAGUCAAACUUACAUAACGACUUAUUCUAAUUUUGGUAUAUACUUCAAAAGAUUUUCUGACAAAAAUAUUAUUAUUCUGUUAUUAUAUGUGGAUGAUAUGUUAAUUGUAGGAUAUGAUAAAGAGUUGAUUGUGAAGUUAAAGAAAGAUAUUUCUAAGCUAACAUGAAGAAAUUGGGCCUAGUAAAACAAAUUCUAGGGAUGAAGAUUGGUCGAGAACGAACAGUCAAAAAUUUGUGGUUAUCUCAAGAGAAGUACAUUAAAAGUGUACUUUAAUGUUUCAUUAUGUAGAGUGAUAAAGUUUUUAGCACACCUCUUGUUGGUCAUCAGAAGCUGAGCAAGAAGAUGUGUCCUACAGCUAAGGAGAAGAAAGAGAAUAUGGUCAACGUUCCAUAUUCUUUAGCGGUAAGGAGUUGAUGUAUGUAAUUAUGUGUACCAGACUAGAUAUUUCUCAUAAAGUUGGUAUUAUUCGUAGGUUCUUUUAAAAUCCUAGAAAAGAACACUGGGAAGAAAUCAGUGAAUACUCAGGGACUUGAGAGGUAACACAGAAGACUAUUUUUGUUUUGAAGGAUCUGAUCCAAUCUUGAAAGGUUGUAGGGAUGCUGAUAUGACCCGUGACAUUGAUAACCGAAAAUCCACUACUAGAUAUUUUUUUACAUUCUCAGAGGGAGCUAUAUCAUAGAAGUUGAAGUUUUAGAAGUGUGUCAUACUCUCUACAGUUAAAGUAGAAUAAUGCAGCUACUGAAGUUGGCAAGAAGAUGGUAUGGUUGAAAUGGUUUCUUUAACAACUAAGAUUGUAUCAGAAGAAACAUAUAGUCUAUUAUGACAGUCAAAGUGCAAUAGAUUUAAGGAAAAAUGUCAUGUAUCAUAUAAAGACAUAGCAUAUCAUUGUGAGAUAUCACUAGAUUUGAGACAAAAUAGAGGAUGGGUCUAUGUUAGUUAAGAAGAUCCCUACAAGUAAGAAUCCUUCAGAUAUGCUGACCAAGGUGGUAUAAAAAGACAAGUUUGAGCUAUGUAAGGAACUUUUUGGCAUGCACUUAAACUAGAAUACUAGGGCUACCUCCUUCAGGUGAAUGGGACUAGAGGGGGAAAUUUGUUGGUUCUACCCUAUUUCCUAGUAAUUGGCAUAUGCUAAUUUACUUGGAGUCAAAGUACUUGGUUGAAAUUAAUUUCCUUGGAGCCAAAGUUUGGAAAAUUAUGGAGGAAAUAAAAGUAGCUAUUGUAGUGUACUUAGUGGCCAAGUCAUUCAUUAACUAUAUAAGGAGGGCAAUUCUUCUUUCUCAAACAUACCAAAAGUAAAUAGAGAAGAGAAACAAGAGUGGGUCAUCAAAUUGGUUUUAGUCUGUGAGAAAAGCAGAGAGUUUGAGUGAUAUUAUAGUGGGGCGAAAAAAUUAAAAGGGAUACUUAUUUUGAGUGUGUAGCGGUCUUUGGAGUAUUUUACUCGGUCUACAAGUGUAAAAUUUCUUUCUAUAGUGAUAUCUGUUGCUCCUAUCGACCCGUAGUUUUUCCGUUAAAGGAUUUUCACAUAAAAUCGUGGUUUCCUUACCUCUCUUUUUAUUCUUGUUGAUUAACCAUAUUAUUGUUAUGUUCCACAUUUACUACUUUUAUUAUCGUAAAUAUUAUUUCUAUGAUGGGUUUAUCCCCAACAACUCCUUAUAUUGGCUUUCUCUAUUGUUCAACCAUCUAUAAAUCCCUUUUAUUGUGAAUCUCAAUUUGUUAUCCCCUCAACAUUUGAGCACAUGUGACUCCUCAUUAGUUCCUUUAAAGGAGCAAUGAUUUUGUAAGCUUUACUACUCUGUCAAUCUCCCAAUCAUCUAAAGCUCACCUAAGAUUUGAAUUCAUCUUUGUUGGUUCCAUGCCUAAAAUAGCAUACACAGUGUGUUUUAAAAAAGUAGGGUCUAUGAAGGUAGUGUGUAAGCAUGAGGGAUACAACAUAAGGAUUUCCUAGGAGUCAGUCAUCCUAAUUAUGAUUCCCACAACCAUAAUUAUGAGGUUUAGCUACUCAUGAUUGUAAGCACAUAGAAAGAAUUCAUAGAAGAAAACAUAAUUGUGAACUUACAAGAAUAAAAUAAAAAUUGAAAUCUCAAAUUGAUUAAAAACCCUAAAAACCAGUGUCAAUGAUUCCAAGAUAAAUAAUAUAACUAAGAACCUUCGAACAAUGUAAAAGUGUGUAAACUAAUCAUAAAACAUUAUUGAAGUAUUUAUAGAUACAAAAUGAAUUCUAUCCAAAACUAUGCAGGAAAAUUAGGUCGGUGGCUUUUAUGACUCAUGGAAUCAAGUCGUGGAUCAAAGCCACAAGCAGUAGGUCUCUCUUCAUGGAAAUUAGAUUAUAGAUCAAUCUUUAUAACAUGAUUCAGGACUCCUACUCACGAGUCAUGGGUUGGAGUCAUGGAUCAUAGCUUCAAUUAUGGAAAUCACACUUUUUCCUUCAGCUUCAUAUCCUACUCACAAACCCCACUCAUGAGUCGUGGUGUAGUUGAUGGGUCAUGGACCAUACUCAUGAGUCACCAACUUCUCCUUAUUUAGCAGAUUUUUCCUCCUUUUUCCCAACUUUUCCUCCGAAACCUAUUUCCUGAACAAUUAUCACAAAAACAUAUCAUACCCAACAAAGUACCUAAGUUCUUGCAUAAUUUCCUUAUUUUAAACAUCAAAACUAUCAUGAAACAAUGGUACAUCAAAACCCUCAACUUACAAAGUUUGCAUGUCCCCAGGCAAAUAAAACACACUAAACACAUAUAAUUCUUAACUAAGAGAAACCUAAGGUAUCUAUGGCAGUCAAUUUAUAACAAAAUACCAACCCCUUCUAUGUGCCUAACUUUUAAAACCACUCUGUGUAUAUAUUUAGCAUAAUAUUAUGACACUAAAGAGAUCAAGUGAUGGCAUCAAAUUACCAAAAAAUAACCAAGAGUGUACGCAAAUGACUUUACCCAAACAAUUAGUAGCUAACAAUGCAACCCAUGUACUCUCACAACAAAGAAAUCUCAUACUCUCAUGGAAUAAUAAUGAAUGUAAGUGUUGGGGAUACAUCAAAGAACUCACUCUCACAAAGAAGUUCAAACAAUGUACAUGAAAUGCCAUAAGUUUUCCCUUAUUCUCUAUGCCUUAGUUUUUUGGACAAUUGGAGUGGGAUCACUAUAGGACUUUUCUCAACUUAUAAUGUAGGCUUGGGGACAGGUUCGGUACAUAUAGGUAAUAGUCCCUCUAUCCUCCUUUUCAUUAUACUUAUGUUUUUGGCUCCACUAUCAAUCAUGCUCAUUUAUUUCUCCCAUAUUCUUUAUUAUUUGUUUUCAGAUUGGGUGUGGUUUUGCUUCAUACUUUUUGUUUAAUUUUUUAUUUUCUUUUUCUAUCCCUUUUUUCCUACCACACCCAACCCUAUCUUCUUAUUUUUUCUCAACUUCUUCUUUAUAGUCGUAUCCAACUACGAACCCCUAUGAUAGCCACCUUAACCUAGGCAAUUUACUUGAGUUGAGAUAGAGAAUGUCCAAGAAGGAACCAAGGCCAAAAUAGGCUCAUUAUAAUUUAAAAAAAGGUGAAUGGGUUGAUACAAGAAAAUAAGUAACUUAAUGUAAUGCCCUGAGUCUACACCCCGGACGUCACACGGUAUCUUAAUCCUGAAGGACCAAAAGCUAACCUAAGACUUGUACAUACUACAAUCACUUAAUAAUAACACUAUAUAAUGCAUAAAUUAGGAAAAAAUUUCCAUAAGGUUCAAAAUUGAAAUCAAAAUACUGAAUACUAAAAAUCAAUACUGAAAACUGAACGUCUGUUUUAAAUACUCUAGCCUGAAAGCCUCUAACUGUCUAAACAUGGAGUUGAUGGGACAAGCCCUCAACUAACUCCGACUACUGAAAUAUUAAAAUAACAACUCUAUCCUCGAACUAUGAGGACUCAAAAAUAACUCUACUAUUGAUAACCUAGGUUGCUAAGUAUGAUGAGGAGCCCGUGUGUCUGAACCUAUGAUAUAAGACAUUAUAGUGCAAAAGAAAGGUAUGCGUCAGUACUUUGAAUGUACUGGUAUGCUAGGUGAGGUAAGGCUGAAUGCAUGGGUUCAUAUGCAUGAACAAAUAACUUAUUGAAAGGCAUGAAUAUAACUUAAUGUGAGUACAUGUAUAUCUGAAACUUCUGUAAAUACUGAUUAUGCAAUGCUAUGCACAUAACUACGUAUACUGUAACUGAGAUUUCAUUAACACUGGAUAAUAAGUUCUGUAAACUGAAUUACUGAUAUCUGAGUUCACUGAUACUGUACUAGUAAAUGAGAGACUGUUUCUAAUAAUCCUGAUUUUGUAAAAUUGAACAGAGUUCUGUACUGAGCUGGGUGACUAUAUCUGAUAGUCCUAAUUCUAAAACUGAACUGAGGUUUUAUACUGAGUCUGAAACUGAAACUAUGGGCAUGUUCAUCUAACCGACAUACCCCGAGUAUGACUGAGUUAGGGUCCAAACUGAGACCCUAGUUAGAAGGGUGUUAGCACCUUUCCAAGGAAUACUAAUAAUGGCUAUGAGUUAACCCUCACUGGCAGAAAGAUUUUUCGUUAACCCUCAUUGGUAGGAAAACUCAUACGAGAUGUAUCAACCAUUGACUGACAGGAAGACAUCUCAAACUAUACUGGCUACGUAGUUCUGUAACAUAGGGAUUGCUGAUAAGGGUCAAACCCUUUACUGACAGGAAUCCCCCCAUCCCUGGGUUCACACGGUGCUGAUUCCUACUCUCAAUUGAAUAGACACUCAAUUAAUUUUUAGAAUGUACUAGGCUUGACUGAACUAUUACUGAUCGUGCUGUCUAACUGAACUGGACUGAGUUCACUGAGUGAUAUUGUAACAUACCAAAUCUAAGCUCCCAAGAUGCCACACGGUGCUUCGAACUAUAACUAGUCCUCAGCUAACCCUGGAUGCUUUUUACUAAGUUUGAAUCUCAAAAUAGGGGAAUAUGAAUAUAAAGACACAUUAAAUACGAAAUUUUAUCUGAAACCUACUAAUAUCACAAGUCUUGGUAAAACAAUACUGAAAAUCUGAAUACUAAACCAAAAUGUCUAAAACUAAAUCUCGUAGUCCGACAAGCCUCUACUAACUAAAUUUAGAGUCACUGGGAUAGGACCCCAGCUGACUCAAGCUAUCUGAAAUGAAUACGAAAACAUCUAUUGAUAAACUAAAAAUAUUAAUAGCUAAGUCCCCGAACUAUGAGGACUCACCAACUAUAAGAAGGUAGAUGAGAUGCUCGAAGAUCACUCACGCUGCUGAGACUGAGCACUUGAACCCGCAUUAUGAGACAAUGUAGGACAUAGACAUAUAUGUGGAUAAGUACUUUGAUGAUGUACUUAGUAUAUGGGGGUGAAUGCAAUAACUAAACAAUAUCAUCAUAAUUUAUUAAAGAAAAUCAUGCAUACUAAAUGUAAAUGACUCACAUGAGCUUGAGUAAAUUUGAAAUCCAAAGAUCAUAAAUCAUGAACAACAAAGCAUAGAAUAUAAAUCUUGUGAGCCAUUACAUUCAGUUCAAAAAUCUAUUCUUUCUGAAAGCUACAACAUUAUCUUAUCAAUUUGUAAGGGGAAUACUUCAUCUCAAGACUUUAGGAAUCUUAAAACCAUAGCUUUAAAAACAUAUACUUUUAUCUUAAGGCUUUACGCCAAUAGACUAUUUUAAGAGUAGGGAACAUCUUAUUGGGAGGUUCUUCUAACCAACACACACCAUGUGAGCAUCCAUGGAGUCCUAUGUCUUGCCCUCAUUAGGUAGGGCUGUUCUACCCUUGCCAUUGGAAUAGAACUUCUUAUCUUAUGUGAUCAUAAUCUUAGUCAUCUACGUAGAAAUGGGGAUAAUCUUAAUCCUACGGUGACACGUAGUUCUGGGGUAUGAAAUCGUAGUAACAUACCCAUCUCGGUGUUAAAUACUACUCCCAUUCUUAUGUUCAAAAUCUUAAGAAAAUCCACUUCAAAUUAGCACAAGGGUUUACAAGAAAACCAAUUAUGCUUUUCUUUAUUUAAAUCUCAAAUCACAUGAACAAAGCGGAUUCUUUAUCUUAGUUUACGACCAAAAGGUCAAAUCUUUAUCAAAACCUUGAGAAUAGUCUUAUCUUAGGAUACUCAUAGUAUAAACAAUCUUGAAACAACAAUCUUUAACUAGGGCUUAAAGACCCAUGCAUCAAACUCAUGUUAAAACACCAAAAUGCUCAAUCUUGAUAAUGUAAAUAUUGAUAAACCAACUCAAAAUCUGGAACUUUCAGCAAUAUGCAUAAAAAUAUGAACAUAACCAUGGAAUUUAACUUCUAAAUCAUUGGAAAUCUCAUAAUCUUGUAAAUAACAAUAAUGGGUAUAAACCCUAACUUGAAUUUCAUGGAAAAUCAUAUAAAUUUCAAUAAAAUUUGAAUUUAAAAUAAGUUUUGGGCACAAGGAUGAAAGGAUUAUCCUUGUUCAUACCCCACAUAUCUCAAUUGAUGAUCUUUGAUGAAAAACUUAGAUCUUAGAUUUUCUAUUGAUGCUUUAGAGAUGAAUUCUUAGAGUUCAUGUAUUGGGAAUCUUAAAUCUUAAAUUUCUUUGGAGAACUAAUGGAGGAAUUUGAAUUUCUUGGAGAGAAAGUUUGAUGAACUAGGGUUUUGCUUGAGAGACAUUUGAUGAAAAGUGAAUGUAAAGUGCUUUGGAGGGGUUUAAUUCAUUGCUUAAGACGGAUUAGGGGCUGGGAGAUUUACCAAAAUGCCUCUCUUAAACUCAUAAACGGAACUGAAAAAUGACCAAAAUCCCAAUUUUUGACCUUAGUGCGACGUGCCUCUAUCGCGCCAAGCCACUGGAAAUUGCCAACUGGGAAUGUGCAUGGUGGCACAACGUGGUGGUAUCGUGUUGCCACCUUGGAUGGGACCUGGAAACUUGGCACGACAUGCCAAUAUCGUGGACCCUCACUGGAAUGGGACAAAUGGGAAAUUGGGCCUCUUCGUGAUUCACCGAAGUCGUGAAGUGUCACUAGAAAUUGACAAUUGUAAUUUUAUUAUUCUCCGCGACGCGCUAAGGGCCCAAAUCAUGGUGUUUUAUGACUGGAACUUAAAAUAGUCAUAACUUCUUACUCGGUUAUCGGAUUUAGGCAAAUUUUAUAUCAUUGGGAAGAUUAUUCGAUUUCCCAUACAAUAGGAGGUCUAAAUAUGAAGAAUUCCAUGCGAAAUAAAUAUUAUUCAUUUUGGAAGCUAUCCCUUAACAUUCUAAGGACGAAUUAAGGCAAGGAAAACAUUGGGGGUAUUACAAUAUCUCCCCCUUGGAAAUAUUCAUCCUCGAAUGUUGCUAGUUAGACUAGGAAUACUGAGAAAAUCUAAAGCUAUUAGCUAUCAUACAAAACUGAAAUAAAUUGAGCAACCGAAUCUAAAUCAUUCCAAGCUUCUGAGUAAUUCUGUGGGUGCAUGAAAUUACAUGAGGACAACUAUGCAGCUGAAUAUAUGAUUAGAAAAGAACUGAAUCAAGGAAGAGUAUUACCUUUGGCUAAAUCUGAGUUUGCGAAGAAGAGGUGAGGGUACAUAACUCACAUAUCUACUUCUGCUUUCCAAGUAGCGCCCUCAACUGACUGAUUUCGCCAAAGAAAUUUGACCAAGGGAACUUCUUUGUUCCUUAAUAUACAGGUUUAAUGAUCUAUAAUCUCAACUGGGAUCUCUUCGUAUGAAAGGCUGUUCUGAAUAGCUGAGCUUUCUAAAGGAACUACAAUAGUAGAGUCACCGAUACUCUUCUUAAGCAUAGAGACAUGGAAUAUAGUAUGAACGGCUGAUAAGUCUGCGGGAAACUCAAGCUCAUAAGCUACUUUCCCAACACGAAUCAAAAUUCUAUAAGGGCCAACAUACCGGGGACUAAGUUUCUCCUUCUUGCCAAAUCUCUUCACCCCUUUCAUGGGUGAAAUCUUCAGAUACACUAAAUCACCAACCUCAAACUCGAGGCCCCUUCUUCUCACAUCUGCAUAGGAUUUCUGAUGAUUAUAUGUUGUUUUCAGUCUUUCUCUAAUAAACUUAACUUUCUCCAUAGCUUCAAACACUACAUCGGGCCCAAGAAAAGCGGCCUCACCCACCUCAAAUCAACCUAUAGGUGAUCUACAUAUCCUCCUAUAAAGAGCUUCAAAUGGGGCCAUCUGAAUGCUAGAAUAAUAACUAUUAUUAUAUGCAAACUCGAUCAAUGGCAAAUGCUCAUCCCAAAUACCUUUGAAAUCAAGAGCACAUUCCCUCAACAUAUCCUCAAGAGUUUGGAUGGUCCUCUCUGCUUGACCAUCUACCUGAGGGUGGAAAGCUGAACUAAGAUGGACCUGGGUACCAAGACCCUUCUAAAAGGCUCUCCAAAACUGGGAACUAACUGAGUACCCCUAUCUGAGAUGAUAGACAAGGGAACUCCAUGUAAUCUAAAUAACUCUCAGAUAUACAACUUAGCAUAAUCCUCAGUUGUAUGGGAUGUAUGAACUGGUAAAAAAUAUGCUGACUUAGUCAAUCUAUCUAUGAUAACCCAAAUCGAAUCAUGAUGAUGAUGCGAAUGGGGUAAACCAGUCACAAAGACCAUUUUUACCUCUUUUCACUUCCAAGUAGGGAUUCCAAACUCUUACAAUGUACCACCAGGCCUUUGGUGCUCUACCUUAACCUAUUAAUAAGUCGCAUACUUAGCUACGAACUCCGCUAUAUCUCUCUUUAUACCACUCCACCAAUAGAUUUCUCAUUAGUUGCGGUACACUUUGGUAGCACCUAAAUGAAUAGACCAACGCGCACCAUGCGCUUCAGCCAUAAUCUACUAUCUCAACUCAUCAACACAUGGCACACACAAUCUACUUCGGUGUCUCAACACACCAUCUCUCCCUUGGGAGAAACCUCUACCUUUUGGUCUUUGACUGACUUCUUCAGUCUGACCAAACUAGAAUCCAGGUAUUGCUUCUCCUUCACUUCUGAAACUAAGGAAGAUUCAGAACAACUCUAAACCUAAAAUUCCCUUCAGCUGAGUCAACCAACCUAACACCCAAUCUAGCCAAACGAUAAACUUCUCAAACCAAUUUUUUUUAUCAUUCUCCACAUAAGCAACACUGCCCAUAGAUAAUCUACUAAGGGUGUCUGCCACUACAUUGGCCUUGCCCGGAUGAUACAACACACUCAUAUCAUAAUCUUUCAAUUAUUAUAACUACCUUCUCUGCCGGAGAUUCAACUCUCACUGAGUAAACACAUACUGCUAGCUUUUGUGGUCUGUGAACACAUCAACAUGUACACCAUACAGAUAAUGUCUCUAGAUUUUCAACACAAACACCACAGUAGCUAAUUCAAGAUCAUGGGUUGGGUAAUUAUUUUCAUGAGGCUUAAGUUAUCUAGAGGCAUAGGCUACGAACUUACCUCUCUGCAUCAACGCAUAACCCAAACCAACUCUAGAGGCAUCGCAAUACACCACAAAACCAUCCUUACUAUCGGGUAAUGCUAAGACUAGGGCUGAAGUGAGUCAAGUCUUCAACACUUGAAAACUCUUCUUAUAAGAGUCUGACCACAUGAACUUAACUUUAAUUAGGGUUAAUCUAUACAUAGGGGAUGCAGUAGAUGAAAAACCCUCAACAAAAUAUCUGGAAUAACCAGCUAGACCUAAGAAACUUCAAUAUCUUAUAAAGAGAUAGGUCUAGGCCAAUUUCUUAUAGCUUUUAUUUUUUAGGGAUAUCUAAUACCCUCACUGGAAAUAAUGACUAAGGAAAACUACUGAACUUAGAAAAAAUUUGCACUUGUUGAACUUGGCGAACAACUGGUGAUCUCUAAAAGUUUACAACACAAUCCUAAGAUGGCCUGCAUGAUCAUCCUCAGUACGAGAGUAGAUAAGGAUAUCAUUUAUAAAGACUAUGACAAACAUGUCCAGAUACUAUUUGAAUACUCUACUCAUCAAAUCCAUCAAGGCGGCUGGGGCAUGGGUUAGCCCGAAAGACAUAACUAGAAACUCAAGAUUACCAUAACGAGUUCUGAAGGCUGUCUUUGGAAUAUCACAUUUCCUUACUUUAAGCUGAUGAUAGUCGGAUCUAAGGUCUAUCUUUGGGAAAUAAAUUGCACCUUGGAGUUGAUCAAAUAAUUCAUCAAUUCUAGGAAGAGGAUAUUUGUUCUUGACUGUGACCUUAUUUAGCUAACGAUAGUCAAUGCACAUUCGCAAAGAACCAUCUUUCUUUCGUAUGAAUAGGAUGAGAGCACCUCAUGGAAAAACACUAGGCCUUAUAAAAAUUUUAUCUAGAAGAUCUUUGAGUUGCUCUUUCAAUUCCUUAAGCUCUACGGGAGCCAUACUAUAUGGAGGGAUAAGAAUAGGCUGAGUAUCAGGAAGAAGGUCAAUACUCAAUUUUAUUUCCCUAUCGGGAGGUACCUCUAGGAGAUCUUCCAAAAAAACUUUAGAAAAUUCAUUGAUCACUCAAACAGACUAAAGGGUUGGAGUCUCAAGCUUUGUUUCUUUAACCCAAACUAGAUGAUAAAUACAACCUUUGGAUAUCAACUUUCUAUCUUUGAGAUAAGAUAUGAAAUGACUCUUAGGAGAUACUGAAUUACCUAACCACUCAAAGACUGGUUCAUCUGGAAACAGAAACUUCACCACACGGGUGCGACAAUCUAUAGAGGCAUAACAGGAAUGGAGCCAAUCCAUACCCAGGAUAAUAUCAAAAUUAGCUAUAUCUAACUUUAUCAAGUCUGCUAAUAUGACUUUAUGAAGGAUAGACAUAGGACACUUCUUAUAGAUAUGCUUAGCAAUAACUGACUCACCUAUUAGAGUAAAAACCAAGAAAGGCUCAGGGAUCUUUUCAGAAUUUAUCUCAAAAUUUACUUCAACUAAUAGGGUCACAUAAGAGAAACUCAAUCCACGAUCUAACAACACAUAAACAUCAAAAUGAAAGACCGAAGCAUACCAGUCACAAUAUCGGGUGAAUUCUCCUGCUUCUAACGGGAUGGUAAAGCAUAAAAUUGAUUCUAGCACUGACCGCCACCAGUACUGGAUGAUGUGCCCUGAGGAGAAGCCGAGCGACCUAGAGGAGCUAGUGCACUAUUAUCUUGAUUUUGGGGACGAACAUCCUUAUUUUCUUUUCUAUCAUGCGGGCACUCUUUAAUUUCGUGACUCAGCUGGCCACAUCUAUAACAACCUUUCUGACCCCACAAAUACUCGCUCGGAUGGGUUUUACCAUACUUAGCACAUGGUGGAUAAUUGGGCCUCCCACUCACACUAUUCUAAGAUUUGGAUAUAUAAGACUUACCCCACUAUUCUUGCUUAUUUUUGGGUGUAGGAGCAUUAGCUGAAGAAGGUGCUGGCAUAGAUGAAUGAUUCUGAAACCGCAAAUGAUUUUCUCCUCUAAACCUAUUCAGACCAUGAUCAAACUGCCCUAUUCUAGCCUUUUUAUUUACUCUCUCUCUCUCGUUCCUUCAUCUUCUCUGCCUCAAUCUAUUGAGGAUGCAUUAACAAUCUAGGAAGAUCCAUGUCCCCAAUAAGCAUAGCAGUCAUACAAUCCUUAACUACCAAACCAGACACACUGGUCACAAACUCACUCAUGCUUGACCUAGGGUCAGCCAUCAAUUCAGAGGCAUACUUAGGAAACUGGUUAAACUUGAGGCAAUAGUUCUUCACUAUCAUUAAGCCUUGACUCAGGUUUAUGAACUCUUCAAUAUUAGCUUUCCUUAUCUCACGUGGGAAAAACUUGUCUAGGAAAGCAUCCUAAAAAAGCUGCCAAGUCAUGGGAGCUGCAUUCUUCCCUCUACUCUUCUUCCACAUCACUACCCAAUCAUAAGCAACAUCCUUUAGCCCAUUGGAUGCCAAUUCUACACUCUUCUCUUUAAAAACAUGCAUAAUUUAGGUGAUCUUAUUCACCUCAUCUAGAUAGAGUUAUGGGUCCUCGCCUACCUUCGACCCAAAGAACUCUGGCGGAUUCAUCCUCAUAAAAUCUUAAAUUCUGGCUGCGGCUAAGUUCCCAUCUUUCAAAGGUAGGGCUGCAGCUUGACGAUUACCCUGAAUGUUAGCUGUCACAGAAUGGUCUAGUGCCUGAAAGGCAGCCUGAAACUCUGCAUAUAACAUAUUCUCAUUCAAAGGAUCUGUGGGCUGAGGUGGCUGGUUAUCAUUUCUGUGUGCAUUAGCUCGAUAAGGAGGCAUUUUUUGUCACAUAAAAGCAUGAAUUAGAAGUAGAUACUAAAUGCAUGAUAGAUCAUGAAAUAAGAGAUGAUUUCCUAAAAUGCUCCAUAGCCUCUUGCUCAUAGAUAAGGUGAACUUCACACCGAUGAUCAAGACUCUACGUAAUAUGGCUUGUCUGACUCCCUAGGACUCUCUAAAACUUAGGCUCUGAUACCAAUAUUGUAAUAUCCUGAAAUCUGAGCUCCCAGGAUGUCAUACGAUGCUCUGAACUACAAGUAGUCCUGAGCUAACCCUGGCUACUUUCUACUAAGUCUGAAUCUCAAAAUAGGGGAAUAUGAAUAUAAAUACACAUUAAAUGCAGAAAUCUUAUCUGAAACCUACUAAUCUCACAAGUCUUGGUAAAACAAUACUGAAAAUCUGAAUACCAAAAAAAUAUGUCUAAACUAAAUCUCGUAGUCGACAAGCCUCUACUAACUAAAUCUAGAGAGUCACUGGUAUAGGCCCCCAGUCGACUCAAGAUGUCUAAAAUGACUACGGAAACAUCUAUUGAUAAACUAAAAAUAUGAUUAGCUAAGUCCCCAAACUAUGAGGACUCACCAGCUACAGGGAGGUAGAUAAGAUGCUCGAAGAUCACUCACACUGCUAUGACUGAGCACCUGAACAACAUUAUGAGACAAUGUAACACAUAGACAUAUAUGUGGAUCAGUACUUUGAUGAUGUACUGAUAUAUGGGGGUGAAUGCAAUAAGUAAACAAUAUCAUCAUAAUUUAUUAAAGAAAAACAUGCAUAAUAAAUGGAAAUGACUCACAUGGGUUUGAGUAAAUCCAAAAUCUGAAGAUCAUAAAUUAUGAACAACAAAACAUAUAUAUAAAUCUUGUGAGCCAUUACAUUCAGUUCUAAAAUCUAUUCUUUCUGAAAGAUACUACAUUAUCUUAUCAAUUUGUCAGGGGAAUACUUUAUCUCAAGACUUUAAGAAUCUUAAAACCAUAGCUUUCGAAACAUAUGCUUUUAUCUUAAGGUUUUAUGACAAUAAACUAUUUUAAGAGUAGGGAACAUCUUAUUGGGAGGUUCUUCUAACCGACAUACACCAUGUGAGCAUCCAUGGAGUCCCAUGUCUUGCUGCCAUUGGGUAGGGAUGUUUUACCCUUGCAUAGGAAUAGAAGUUCUUAUCUUAUGUGAUCACAAUCUUUGUCAUCCACGUAGAAGUAGGGAUAAUCUUAAUCCUAUGGUGGCAUGUAGUUCUGGGGUAUGAAACCAUAGUAACAUACCCAUCUUGAUGAUAAAAGCUAGUCCCAUUCUUAUGCUCUAAAUUUUAUGAAAAUCCACUUCAAAUUAGCAUAAUGGUUGACAAGAAAACCAAUUAUGCUUUUCUUUCUUUAAAUCUCAAGUCACAUGAACAAAGUGGAUUCUUUAUCUUAGUUUACGACCAAAAGGUCAAAUCUUUAUUAAAAACCUAAGAAUAGUCUUAUCUUGGGAUACUCAUAGCAUAAACAAUCUUGAAACAACAAUCUUUAACUAGGGAUUAAAGACCCAUGCAUCAAACUCAUGUUAAAACACCAAAAUGCUCAUUCUUGAUAAUGUAAAUAUUGCUAAAUCAACACAAAAUCUAGAAAUUUCAGCAAUAUGCAUGAAAAUAUGAACAUAACCAUGGAAUUUAACUUCUAAGUCAUUGGAAAUCUCGUAACCUUGUAAAUAACGACAAUGGGUAUAAACUCUAACUUGAAUUUCAUGGAAAAUCAUAUAAAUUUCAGUAAAAUUUAAAUUUAAAAUAAGUUUUGGGCAUAAGGAUGAAAGGAUUAUCCUUGUUCAUACCCCACAUACCUCAAUUGAUGAUGUUUGAUGAAAAACAUAGAUCUUGGAUUUUCUAUUGAUUCUUUGGAGAUGAAUUCUUAGAGUUCUUAUAUUGGAAAUCUUAAAUCUUGAAUUUCUUUGGAGAACUAAUGGAGGAAUUUGAAUUUCUUGGAGAGAAAGUUUGAUGAACUAGGGUUUUGCUUAAGAGAGAUUUGAUGAAAAGUGGAUGUAAAGUGCUUUGGAGAGGUUUAAUUCAUUGUUUAAGAUGGAUUAAGGUCUGGGAGAUUUAGGAAAAUGCCUCUCUUAAACUAAUAAACGAAACUGGAAAAAAUGACCAAAAUCUUGAUUUUUGGCCUUGGUGCAACGUGCCUCUAUCGCACCAAGCCACUGGAAAUUGCCAACUGGAAAUGUCCAAGGUGGUGCAAUGCGGUGAUAUCGCGUUUCCACCUUGGAUGGGACCUGAAAACUUGGAGUAACAUGCCAAUAUCGCGAACCCUCACUGAAAUUGGACAAACGGGAAAUUGGGCCUCUCCGCGAUGAACCAAAAUCGUGAAGUCCCACUAGAAAUUGACAAUUGUAAUUUUACGUUUCUCCGCGAUGCGCUAAGGGCCCAAAUCACGGUGUUUUAUGACUGGAACUUAAAAUAGUCAUAACUUCUUACUCGAUUAUCGAAUUUAGGCUAAUUUUAUAUCAUUGAAAGCUUAUUCAAUUUCCCACAUAAUGGGUGGUCUGAAUCUAAAGAAUUCCAGGAGAAAUAAACAGUAUUCAUUUUGGAAGCUAUCGUUUAACAUUAUAAGGAUGAAUUUAAGCUAGAAAAAUCUUAACGUAUUAUAGCUAUUAACUGAUUGAGUAUGCUGAAUUCUGUUAACUGACUGAAUACACAGAGUUUUGUAACUGACUGAAUACUACCGUCGUGACAUCAUUGAACUAUUCUAAAAUUAUUGUAAAUCUAGGUAAAAAUCUAGAUUGUUGAGUAUUAGAUGCCCACAGGACCUGAUAGCAUAAAUUAUAACACAUAGCACAAUCUUGAAAAUAGGAUAACUAACUUUGUCAUCAUUCAUUUAUUGAGGCAUUUUAUCAAACACUUGCAUGACAUGAACUUUUAUACAUGCUAACAUGAUAUGAUUUCAUUACUAAACUCAAAUUAACAAUUCAUCAAAUACUUAGGGGGCAUAACUUAUACACAUGGCUAUAGUACAACAUGCAAGCAUCAUGAUCAAAGUUACAACUCACAAAUUCAAGGGUUUUAACAUGAAACCAUAUAACAAUACACACAUGCUAUUUAUUUCUCAUGAAACCUAUAAUUGAUUAUGGAUUCUAAAACUAACUAACAUUAUAAUCAUGAAUAAAAUCACAUUCAACAUAAAUUUCAUAAAAGAAGCCAACUUAUAAUUAAAAAAGGGAUUCUUGAACUACAAAGGUGUAAGAAAACCCUUAAAUGAACACCUAACAUACCUUGAUGCUUGAAAUUGUGAAGAUUAAUGGUGUGUUCUUUAAGUUUGAAUUUGAAAUCAAAGCCCUAGGGUUUGUUCUUGAGAGAGAUUUGAGAGAAAGUGAGUGUUUUAACCAUAAGAAUGAUUUAAUCUCAUGUUUUGGGGGCUAAAUAUGGGUGGAAAAUAACCCAAUUACCUCUCUCAAUAGCAUCAAUAUGAUGACCAAUGCACCGCAUUGAGUUCUCAUUGGUUCACUGGAAUUGCACUAAAAGCUGGGGAAAAAUUAUCUGUCUACACGAUGGGCGAUGCGACGAGUCGAUAUCGCAUCGACCCACUAUUUUGGUCACCUAAAUAUGAUUCAAACGAGGUCCAAAAAAUUCAAAACUCACCUGAAGUGACCUAUUGACACACUUGAUCAUGAUUUAAUCCAAGAAUCAACAUUUUAAGGUCAUAAGGGUUAUAAAAUAGGAUGACCAACUUAUGAAGGCCAAAAUAAAUUUUAAGUAUGAAUACUUAGCUGAAAUUUCUAAGUCUGGGACCUCUUAUCAAGCUUUAACAGACUGAGUUAAGCUUAGAAUUUUGCGAGGUCUUACACUUAAGGCUCAAAUUCGAGAUCAAGAGAUACUUAUUUCAUUAGGUCAGUAUUUUAGGCUAAAAGUGGACUUUAUUCAAGAAUGACUUAUGAUUUUGUCUCCUAACUUCCUAUAACCUAGGCAAAACUAACCGGACAAGUUCUGAAUCACACAUACAAAGUGAACUAAGUAAAUACCUCAAACUCACAUCGUACAGGGUUACGUUGUAAGACCCUACAAAAUUUCAACUAUUUUAUUUUUUUACCCUCUCGCAUGCAUAACAUUAAGUUUUUACUAGAAUUAUUUUUAGGAAUGUUAAAAGGAUGUUUUGGGAAAGUUUUAGAAUUUUUGAAGAGGGUUCGGGACCAUUUUAAAACUCCAAGGCAGUAAGCCUCUAAAAUAAGGGUGUGGUACAGAGGCUAACCUCCGUGAUAAGGGUGUGGCAUAGAGGUUAACUUCCAUGAUAGAAGCAUGUCAUGCUGUUAUGUUAAUUUCAUCUAGUUUUUAUUUUUUUCACUUGGGUUAAGGGGUUUUUGGUCCUUUUACACCUUGCAUGAUUUUAAAACAUAAAAUAAACCCAUUUCCUUCAUUUUUCAAAGACCAAACACGACUAUCUUUUUCUCUAACUCUCCAACCAAAAAAGCUUACGAGUUUUUCAGAGAAUUCACCAUUCAAGCUCCAAAUUUCAAAUUGUCAUCAAUUUUUUAUGUAUUUCAAGCAUGUUUCUCAUCCUUAGCUUAAAUUUUACACUUUGGAAUUUAUUUAACCAUUAUUUAUGUGAUUUUAAUUAAUGAGUUUGAAAUUAGGUUAAGGGAUUUUGUACGGUAUUACUUGAAUUACUUUUUUCCAUGUUUUAAAUUGAAGAUUCAUGCUUAAUUGAGGAUUUUUAGGGCUGAAUGGUGCAUUGUUAUGAGGAUUUGAAUGGGGAACAUGGGUUUCCCUAAAUGAAUGAAAAAUUGGCUUAAUAAUGGCACUAACCUCAACCCACCUUUAUCACUUUGGUUUUAAAUAUGGAAAUUGCAUGAUUUAAUUUACUUUUUGAAUAUUUUAUUGCAUUAAAGGAUAAUGGAUGGUAAAAAUAAUUUUGGAAUGCCCUUGGUGGCUAUUGUUUUGGAAUUUGAAUGAAACUUUAGAUUCAAAUGGUUACAUGGAAUUGUUUGGAUAAUUAUAUAUAAGCUUGCAAUCAUAUUGGUAUAACGAUACCAAGUCAGUAAAUUCCUUAAUGAAUAACUCCUAGGUUAAUGGAUGGGUUUAUGUGCAAACUUUUUUCAUUUGCGCUUAAAGGGAAUUUUGUAGCUCAUCGUGAAGGUGUAGGUUCUGGAGGGAUGAAUACUAGAAACCAUAUUUGUCGGUGUGGGGUCUAUAUGAUCAUGUGCUUGAUACACACAUUAUAUUUUGGAUGGGUAUCGUUGUAAUGAUCUGAAUUUUGAUGAAACAUGUGAAAAAUGUGUUUUUGUAUAUUUUGAUUAGUUAACCCCUCUUUGUAGUUGCAUUGUGGUAUUUCUGGAUUAUGGGGGAUAUCGGCAUGGUUCCCGAUGCAUUUAGAUGAAAUUUAUGCAAUAAUGUGGUUUUUGGAAGCUUUGAGAGCCUUAAUAUAGACUUUUGUGGUUAUGUUUGAUCUGUGCGAUGGAUGGAUGAAUGAAGUACGUCAGCAGAUUCAAAACAUCGAUUUUAAGGUGGUGACAUAUUUGGUGUUGUUUUAUGGCUUUUAAAUCACAUUUGGCCCACAAUUUGGAGAGUUGUGAUUUUGAAUUUCGAUGGUUAACUCUAUUAAAAUGAUGUCUUUUAAAAAAUAUGAUAUCUCUAUUCAGUUUGGAGUAGCUUAUUUGAUAGGAUAGCAUAGUUCAUUUGGAUUCACAGUAGUUUAGAUGAAUCUUGAAGGGCUCGCGAGGACUUGGAUUAAACCAAAUUCCCAGCUGGUACACCCACAAUCAUGAACUAAGUGUUGUGAUCGUGACUGGUCUAGAAAAGGUGAUGCUGCGAUCGCGACCCUUUUCUGUGAUUGAGACACCUUUGUCUAUCAGGGUACAGCAAUCGUGGAACCUAGGUGUAUAUAUACCUAGUUUUGGCAUUUUUACCAUUUUUUAGACUUGGAUCUUAGAGUUUCAUGGUUUUGAAAAACUUUAUCCAUUUCUAAGCUUGAGUAAGCUCUAUUAUACUCAUUUUAUCUAAUUUCUACCAUCUUUAUAAUUAGAUUCUUAUUAUAAUUCAAAUUUCAGAGUGGAAAUUAGGGGUUUUGACCCCGAAGGUCCAAAAUUGUAUUUCUUCAUAUUAAAUCCCAGUUUCACUCCUUUUCACUUGAAUAAUGUUUCUAAUCUUAAAAUUACUAGUUUUUCCUCAAUUUCAUCUUCAAAAACAAUCUCACUUCUGGAUUUUAAAGCAGAUUUUGAAGGUUUUUCUCGGUAAAGCUUAAAAAUAAUUUUUCUUUAAUUUGAACCUCAUUUUUAACUUAUUUUUUUAUUAGAUUUUCACCUAUAUACUCCUAAAUUCAUGGAAAAAUAUUUUUGAAAUAAAGUUGUGGGUUUUUUUUCUUUUUGGAAACCCUAUUUCGGAGGUCCGUUUUGACCCUAAUUUGAAACUAGGAAAUAUGAGACUCAUUAUCUUUAUUUUGAUGUGUAGAUUCUAUAUUUUGAUGUUUAAGUUAAUUUUGGAUCUAUUUGUGAGGAGCAGGGUUUUGAAAUCAAAGUAUGGCGAACCAGUUUCAAUAUUUGAGGUAGGUUAUGGCUUAACUCUUUUAGACUAGGCUAUGUAGUUAAUUUUUAUACAUAAUGCAUGUUAAGAGUAUGGGAACUAAUCAGAGAAUUGUUUAUCUUAAUGUGUUAUGCCCGUGUGGGUGCCUACAUGUGGUAUAAUUGUUGGUUUUAGAGAGAUUAUGUGAUAUGUGUGACCAUAUGGUACCUUUUGUGAUAUUGAUAGCCUUAUACACAUGUGAAUAGUUGUAUCUUGUUGAUAAAAAGGUGUGGCGUGGUACCAUGUGUGUAUUAUGAUGUAUUCAUACCUUAUUGACAUAUGGAACAUGUAGAAAUUCAUGGGUGGUUGGAAAUAAUGAGUGGAUAUUGCGUCACGUGGUUAUGAAAAUAUAUCAUUGUGGUUGGUUAUGGAAAUACAUCAUGUGGUUGGUUGUGGAAAUAUUCAUUAUGAUUGGCUAUGAGAAUUACAUCCUCAUAACAUACUCAUUCAUGAAAUAUUAACCACCAUGUCAACACUUUAGAAAUACUGGCAACAACUUUAUAAGACCCUCUCAAAAGGAUGUGUUGGGGAGAAGAUAUUGUAUUAUAUUAUAAAACGCACCCCAUGGGAUAUGCCAGGGAGGAGAUAUGGAUAUGUGGAUUAUAUAUGGGUUGACGAACCCUCCAUAAGACCUACGUUAGGAAGUUUUAGCUCUGUAGCUGUAUACGAGGACUUUAUGAUGGUCUCAGAAUUUGUGAAGAAACCUUGUACAUCAUCAUCAUCAUCAUCAUUCUUAUGGUAUUUACUUUAUUAUGUUUGCGAUGUGAUUGUAUUUCCAUUUAGAAUUUUUACCUAUUUAAUUGUUCUAUCUUCUUAUACUUGUACUUGAUGAUCUUGUGUGUAUAUAUUAUCCUUCCUUAUUCUACUUAUAUGUGUUAUAUUAUAUACUUGUGAUCCUUUCUAGUUUGUGCAAUGCAUAUGAUAUUAUGGAACUAUCAGUGCCAGUGAUAGGGGCUACCAUUGUAGGAAAUUUCCUAAUUGCAGGUGACGUGCCCUUAAUGUGUAUUUUGUAUGUUUUAUUUUCUGCUUUUCUCAGUCGGCCUAUGCUACCUACUGAAUACAAAUGGAUUUUACUCACUCCUACUGUACCCCUCUGGUGUAGAUUUAGGUCUGGGAGUACCUUGGUCGCUUGAUUUAGGUGGUAUUUGGAGCUUUCAAGGUAGUAGGUGAUUUUCUGGCUUUCGGAUAUCUUCUACUACCUUUCCUUAUAGACUAUGUCAUUACUUUCAUUUCAAAGAUAGAGUUUCUCUUGUAUUUUGGACAUUUUAUGCAUUUUAUUUAGAUUAGAGUUGUAAUAGAUAUGUUCUUACACUAUUGACAUCAGGUUUCGGCACUUAUGAAUGCAUUGCUAAUUAGAUUUAUUUUGCGUUUAUUACACUUCUAUGGUUUGGCUUCAUUCUAAAAGCCUUACCUUGGGGUUAUUUCUGUAUUAUUUACCUUGGGCUUACUUGUUAAGGUUCGCCAUGACAAGUGCCAUUAUGACCCUAGCUUUUUUAGGUUAUAACAAUCAUCUUGGUGUCUUUAGCCUUUUCUCAAUUUUCUUAAUUCAUGUGGCUAACAUACACUGGGGCCCUUUCAGCAGGAAGAGCUAAACUCAUAUAGACCGUGGGUGCCUCUAGGAUAGAGUGAGCUACAUAGUUCAGGUAAAUUGUUUAAACUCUCAUGUUUAUGACCCUUGUCCCUAUCCCAGAAUUCUACAUAUGUAUAUAUAAUAUUGUGCAUGUGGUUUUUAACUGGUUUUGGAAAAUAGUAUUAUUUUAUUCCCUUUUCCUAAGUUAUAUUUUAGUGCUCCCCCCACUGACCAUCCUAGGACGAAACAUCAUUUCAUGAUAUGGGGUUCAAAGGGUUUUUAGUUACUCUUGUGCCAUGCUAGGUGAUUCGGUAUUCCUAUUGAUUUGCGGUGAAGUGGUGAGCCUCUAUCUAUCAGAAAGACCAUUCAUUUCACUUAUUUCCCUUAUUUCAUAGUAUUUCUUUUGGAGUCCUUUUUAUCAUAGUCAGGGCAUGUCCCAACGUAGCUAGUAUUUUUAGUUUUAGAGGUUUUUAUGGACAAGUGUGGGUUGGUUGGUUAUUUUGAAUCAUAGUUUUUAUUUUUUUUAUUUACUCUUCUUUUUAUCAUGUUUAGUUAUCUUUGCUAUAUUCUUUUAUUAUGUUCUAGAUGUAAGGCUAAGGGGGUAGUCUUCGGCCUAUAAUGGGCUUGAGAUACCCGUCAUGACUAAGCCUUGGUUCAGGUCCUGACAAUCUUCGUAUCAGAGCACUAUUCAGGAUCUUUGGGUGUCCAUAAUAUCGUGUCGAGUAGAGUUCCUUUUAUAAGUAUGUAGCAUACCACACUUAUAGGGGGAGGCUAUAAGUUAUUUAGGAAUGUUUCCCUUUCUUAUGUUCUACUUUGAGCUGUAGGGUCUAGUUUUUACGAAACUUCCAUAACUCCUAGCUUACUCAUGCUUUAGAUCAUGCCUCUCUGAAUAUCUGAUAAUCUUAGAAACUCUUCUAGAAACUCUGUCUAACCUGAGGAAAAUGUGGAGGGAACUUGUCCUGUUUAUGGAGUACAGACCCUUCUAGUGUCCCUGCUCUUGACUGUACCACUCCACAUAGGGUUCCACAAUCCCUGUUAGUCUUUCUUGGGCUUUUCAGGCUGGUGAUACUUAUGCCCAGAUGCCUCUGGGAGAUAUCUCUAAUGUGGAGUUUUGUUAGUCUAUUCAUAUACUAGCCCAAUUGAUGGCAUCACAGUCUGUUCGGUAUGAUCAUGUUGGUUCUAUUGCUAUUCAUCUGAGGUCACUCAAGUUGGCCAGUUUAUAAGGUUUAAUCCUCCAACCUUUACAAGUUCUAAGGUUGAGGAAGACCUUAGGGGUUUAUUGAUAAGAUAGAUAAGAUUUUUAGGGUUAUACAUGCUGUUAAUAUAGAGGGUGUGGAGUUUGCUGCUUAUUAGUUAAAGGAUGUGGCUUACCAGUGGUAUGAGGAGUGGGAAGCAAUGAGGAGUGAUAAUACUAAAAUGAUGGUAAGAUGAGUUUUUAGGUGCUUUUCUUGCUCACUUGUUUCCUCAAGAGUUGAGGGAAACUAGGGCCAAAGAAUUUGUGAACAAUAAGAAGAGUAAUAUAGGUGUUAAGGAGAAUGCUCUGAAGUUCUAGUUGUUUUCCCGUUAUUCUCCGAAUUUGGUGUAUAACAUGAAGUCCAGGAUGAGGAAGUUUGUUUUUGGGCUGUCCCGUGACUUGGUGUUAGAGUGUAAAGUUGUUGUGUUGAAUAAUGGUAUGGACAUCUCCAGGAUGGUGGUUUAUAUGCAGCGGGUGGAGCAUGAGAAAAAAAAGUAGGUAAAGAUGGGAGAGAGAUAGUACAAGAAGUUUAGAUACUCAAAGCAGGGUGAAAAUCAACAAAAUAGUAGGAGAGAUGGUAGACAGUGGACCAAGAAGAAGAAUUAGGGAAUUUCUCAUUUGACAUCUAGUACUCCUUAUCCUAAGCCUUUUGAUGAUCGUCAUUUUCAGGCUAGCAGUGAUCCUAAGGCACAGGUUUCCUAGUCUUAGGUUAGUGGAGCUCUGUCAGCCCCACCCUAUUUUCUUUGUCGAUUUUGUUGGUAGUUUCACUAUGGUUAUUGUAAGGAGGAUAGGAAUUUAUGUUUCAAUUAUGGUCAGCCUGGUCAUCUGUAGCAAAAUUAUCCCAUAGCUAAAGCUGCCACUGAGCUAAUAAGGUUCCGGCCUCCAUUUCUUCAGUUUCUGCACCUAAUAGUGCCACUUUAGGUACCGACAUUGGCCGAAAUCGUCCUUAUGCACUUACUACCCGUCAGGAUUCUGAGGCCUCACCAGCUUUUAUCACUAGUAUGUUAUAGCUCUCCUUUUGCGAUGCUUAUUGUUUGCUUGAUACGAGUUCUUCCAUAUCUUAUACGACCCCUUAUAUGGAUUUACACUUUGGUUUUGGUCCUAAAAAUAUUUUUGACCCUUUUAUUGUAUCUACUCUGAUGGGUGAUCCUAUUAUUGCUAGAAAAAUCUAUAGGGGUUGUGUGGUAUCCAUCUUUCAUAAAGAGACAUUAUUGUAGUUGAUAGAACUUGACAUAUUGGAUUUUGAUGUAAUCUUGGGAUGGAUUGGCUUCAUUCAUGCUAUGCUUCUCUAAAUUGUAGGACCCAAAUGGUUAGUUUCUUUGUUUCUAAUAAACUGGUGAUUGAAUGGAAGGGGAGUUCUAUAGUACUUAAAGGUAAGUUUAUUUCUUAUCUUAGAGCUCAGAAGUGGAUUUCGAAAGGGUGUGUGUCAGCUAGUUUGGGUUAAGAACUCUAACUCUAUAACACCUUCUUUGCAAUCUGUCCCUAUUGUUAAUUAGCUUCUUAAAUUUUUUCUCAAUAAUCCUCCUAGAAUUUCUCUUAUCGGAUACCCAUCCCGUUCUCAUACCUCCUUGUAGAAUGGCUUCGGUAGAGCUAAAGAAACUAAAGGAGCAGUUAAAGGAUCUUUUUAAUAAGGGUUUCAUCCAUCCUAGUGUUUUUUUAUGGUGUGCUCCUAUGCUUUUCGUGCAAAAAAAACAUGUAUAUCUUUGGAUGUGUAUAGUUUAUCAUCAGUUGAACAAAGUUACAGUGAAAAAUAAGUACCCUCUCCCAAGGAUUGAUGAUCUUUUUUAUUAUCUUCAGGGUGCUAGUGCUUCUCUAAGAUUGAUCUUCAUUCGGGCUACCAUCAGCAGAAAAAUGAGGCUAAUAUUCCCAAGACUGCUUCUGAACCUGGUACGGCCAUUAUGAGUUUUUGGUUAUGUCAUUUGGGUUGACUACUGCUCUGACUGCUUUUAUGGAUCUUAUGAAUUAGGUGUUUUGGUAGUUUCUAGAUUUUUUGGGUAUAUUCUUCAUCGAUGACAGUCUGGUAUACUCCAAAAGUGAGGAGGAUCAUUCCAAUCACCUCAAAAUUGUGUUGCAAACUCUUAAGGACCAAAAAUUAUUUGCAAAGUUUUCUAAGUGUGAAUUUUGGCUAAGUGCUUUGACUUUUCUUGGCAAUGUGGUUUCUAGUGAGGGGAUCAAGGUGGAUCCACAGAGAGUUAAUACAGUUAAAAAGUGGCUUUAACCCAUGACUCAAACCCAUAUUAGAAGUUUCUUGGGUUUAGUAGGCUACUAUAGGAGGUUUAUGGAUAGUUUUUUAUCUAUUAUUGUCCCGUUUAUAAAGUUAGCUCGGAAAAGGGUUAAGUUUCUGUGGUCCGAUGCUUUUAGGGGUAGUUUUAAGAAGUUGAAGGAUAAGUUGACUUUUCCACCAAUUUUGACCCUGCUCAAGGGAACUGAUGGGUUUGUAGUGUAUUGUGAUGCAUCCCCAGCAGGGCUAGGUUUUGUGUUGAUACAGCAUAUAAGGUUGUGACCCAUGCUUCCAUGCAGCAAAAGGUUCAUGAGAGGAAUUACCCAAUUCACUAUCUAGAGUUGGUGGUUGUGGUCUUCCCCUUAAAGAUUUGGCACCAUUAUUUGUAUGGAGGGCAGUGGAUAUUUGUAUAGAUCAUAAUAUCUUGCAACAUGUGUUUAUGUAGGAGGAAUUGAAUCUUAGGAAAAGGUGGUGGCUCAAAUUGCUUAAGGAUUAUGACAUAAGCCUUUAAUACAAUCGAGGUAAACCUAAUGUAGUUGCUGAUGCUCUUAGCAGGUUGUCUAUGGGAAGCCUAUCCUGCAUUAAUGAGAAGAAAAGAGUGUUGGUGAAGGAUAUUCACAGGUUGUCUAACUUGGGAGUUCAUUGCUUGGACUUUGAGGAUGGGGGAGUAAUUAUUCAACAAGUGGCCAAAUCAUUUUUUGGUGCAGAGAAGGAGAAAUAGGUUCUGGAUCCCAUGCUUAUGCAGAUUAAGGAUGAUGUGGGUCGGUAAAACAUUAUGACUUUUGAGAUUGUGGAGUUGGCAUUCUGAGGUAUCAAGGAAGGUUGUGUGUUCCUGAUGUUGAUGGGGUGUGGGAAAGGUUUUUAACUGAGGCUCAUGAGUCCAGAUAUACAGGUCAUUUGGGUUUGACUAAAAUAUACCAUGACUUGAAGGAAAUCUACUGGUGAAAUAAUAUGAAGAUAGAUGUGGCUAACUUUGUGUCUAAGUGUAUAGUUUGUUAGCAAGUAAAGGUUGAGAACUUGAGGUCUGGAGGAAUGUCUCAAGAGAUAGAAUUUCCAACGUGGAAGUGGGAGAUGAUUGAUAUGGAUUUCAUUACUAGUCUACCACGGUCUCUCAAUCAGUAUGAUUCUAUAUGGGUCAUUGUGGAUAGAAUGACUAAGUCUGCUCACUUCUUACCUAUAAGGACUAAUUAUUUAGGAGAGGAUAAUGCUAAGUUGUUCAUCCAAGAGAUAGUUAAGUUGCAUGAAGUGUCAGUGUCCAUCAUUCCAAAUAAGGUAUGAAGUUUUCUUCUCAUUUCUAGCAUUUAUUGUAAAAGGUUUGGGUACUCAGGUGAACUUUAGCAUCAUUUUCCUCCCUCAAAUGGAUAGAAAAGUGGAGCAUACUAUUCUAACUUUGGAGGAUAUGUAAAGGGCUUAUGUGAUUGAUUUUAAGAGAAGUUGGUUGACCAUUUGCCUCUUAUGGAGUUUACUUACAAUAAUAGUUAUCAUUUCAGCAUUCAGAUGACUCCUUUUGAGGCUCUCUAUCGUAUAAGGUGUAGGCCUUCUAUUAGUUGGUUGAGGUAGCUGAGACUGGGUUGUUUGUCCAUGACUUGGUUCACUACGCCAUAGAGAAGGUGAAAGUGAUUAGAGAAAGGCUUAAAACUGCUCAAAGUCGACAAAAGUCUUAUGCAGAUAUGAGGUGAAGGAAGUUGGAGUUUGAAGUAAGUGAUUAGGUGUUCUUGAAGGUUUCUCCUAUGAAAGGAUUCUUGAUAUUUGGGAAGAAGGGGAAGCUCAGUCCCCGUUACAUUGGUUAGUAUUAGAUUUUAUGAAAAACUAGGAAUGUUGUGUAUAAGUUAGAUUUGCCAACAAGUUUGACUCUAUUCUAAACUUUUUUUCAUGUGUCUAUGCCAAAAAAGUAUGUGGGUGGUCCUUCUUUGAUAGUGUCUUUAGAGGAUGUUGGUGUUUCAGAUUACUUGUAUUAUAAGAAACUCCCGGUUGAGAUAUUGGAUAGGUAAGUUUGUAGAUUGAGGACAAAGGAUGCAGCUUUAGUGAAGGUUCCUUGGAGGAAUCAAAAGGUAAAAGAAGUAAUAUGGGAAGCUAAGGAAGAUAUGAAGGCCAAGUAUACACUCUUGUUCCCCGCUCUUGAGUGAAAAUGCUUAAGGUAUGCUUUCAUUAUUCCUCUGGUCAUAUUUCGAGUGUAUCCUUGGAUCUACUAUGUUGUUUUUGUUAUCAUGCUAAGAAUGUCCUAACUCUUCAUUCAGGGAUGAAUUAUCCUAAGGGCGGGAGCGUAAUGUAAGCCCUUACAAAAAUUCAACCAUUUUAUCUUUGACCUUCCUAUGUGCGUAACAUUGAUUUUUGACUUAAAUUAUGCUUAGGAACGUUAAAAAGGUAUUUUGGAAAAAUUUCAAAAUUUUUGAAAUGGUUUUGGAAUUAUUUUUGUAACUCCGAGGCAGUAAGCCUCCACGAUAAGGGUGUGACACAGAGGCUAACCUCCAUGAUAAGGGUGUGGCAAGGAGGCUAACCUCUGCAAUAGCAGCACACUAUGCUGCUAAUAUUAAUUUCACCAAGUGUUUUUUUUCACUUAGGUGAGGGGAUUUUGAUACUUUCAUAGCUUGCACGGCUUUUAAACAUGAAAUAAACCCAUUUCCUUCGAUUUUCAAAGAUCAAACUCUAUUAUCCUCUUCUCUAACUCUCCAAUUAAGAAAACUUAAGGUUUUAUAGAGAAUUCACCAUUCAAGCUCCAAACUUUAAAUUUUCCUCAAUUUCUUAUAUAUUUCAGGCAUGUCUCUCAUCCUUAACAUGAAUUUUACAUUGUGACACUUAUUUAACCAUUUUUCAUGUGAUUUUAAUUGAUGGGAUUGAAAUUGCAUUGAGGGGCUUUGUUUGAUAUUACUUGAAUUACUUUUUCUAUAUUUUAAAUUGAUUAUUUGUGUUUAAUUAAUGGUUUUGGGGCUAAACGGGUGCAUUGUUAUGAUGAUUGGAAUAGGCAACAAGGGUUUUCCAAAUGGAUGAAAAUUUGGCUUGAUAAUGGCACUAACCUCAACCCACCUUUAUAACUUUGGUUUUGAAUAAGGAAAUUGCAUGAUUUUAAUUUACUUUUGGAGCAUUGCAUUGAAUUAAAGGAUAAUGGAUGAUAAAAAUAAUUUUGGGAUGCACUUGGUGGCCAUGGUUUUGGAAUUUGAAUAGAAUUUCAGAGUCAAAUGGUUACAUGGAUUGGUUUGCCAUAAUUAUAUAAGCUUUCAAGCGUAUUGGUAUGAUAAUACCAAGUCGUUAAAUGCCUUAAUGAAUGUCUCCUGGUUUAAUGGUUGGGUUUAUGUGUAAAAUGUUUUAAUUUGGGCUUAAAGGGAAUUGUGUAGCUCACCAUAAAGGUGUAGGUCUUAGGGGGACGAACACUGGAAACCACAUUUGCCUACGUGGGGUCUAUAUGACUGUGUGCUUGGUGCACACAUUAUAUUUUGGAUGCCUAUUGCCUUGGUGUCAUUAGCAUUUUCUCGAUUGCCUCGGUUCGUGUGGCUAACACGCACUGGGACCUUUCAGCAGAGGGAUCUGAACCCAUAUAGCCUGUGGGUGCCUUUAGGAUGGAAUAAGCUACACAGUUCAAGUUAAUGGUUUAAACUCUCAUGUUCAUGACCCUUGUCCCUAUCUCGGCAUCCUAUAUAUGAACAUAUAGAUUUUUAUACAUGUGUUUUUUGACUGGUUUAAGUAAAUGACAUUAUUUAAUUCCAUUUUCCUGAGUUACAUACCAGUGUUUGCCGUACAAACCAUCCCUGGAUGCUACAUUAUUUCAUAAGGUAGGGUCUGAAGGGUUUUUUGCUUCUCCUAUGCAGCGCUAGGUGAUUCGGUAUUCCUGUGGAUCUGCUGUGAAGUGGUGAUCCUCCAUCAUUCGAAAGGCACGAUCAUUUUACUUGUUUUAUUUAUUUCAUAGUAUUUUUUUUGGAUUCUUUUUUGUCAUAGUCAAGGGCAUGGCCUGACUUAGUUGGUAUUUCUGGUUUUAAAGUCUUUUGUGGACAAGUGUGGGUUAGUUGUUUCUUUUGACUCUUAGUUUUCAUUUAGUUUAUCUAAUCUUCUUUUCAUCAUGUUUAGUUGUCUUUCAUUGUAUUCUUUUAUUGUGUUAUGGAUGUAAGGCUAAGGGGGUGGUUUCCAUCCCACAGUGGGCUUGAGAUAACCGUCACGACUUGGCCCUGGUUCGGGUGGUGACAUAUAUCAUCAACUACUUCCUAUUUGGUUCAUAUAAUGCUAAGCUACAAUUAUUCUAUCCCUAAUACUAAUGUGAUAACAAGAUCCAAUAAUAGUCACAAUUUCACAUAGUCACACCACAUAGUUAAACAAAACUUUCAGGAGGGGUAUCCCAUAAAUAUCAAAAAUCAUAAAACAAAAAUUUGACUGCACCAAUAUUCCUUAUUUUUCUCCAAAUCAAACACAAAAAAACUAACACAAACAUAACAAAAGCAUAUAUCUUAUCCAUGUUUUCUCUACUAUGAUAGCACACUCUGAGGAAAAGAGACAUAACAACGAAAACCCUAAGUGGUGGUAUGACUCUAGGAAAGAGAGACAUGAUAACAAAAAACCUAAGUAGCGGUGCACCCCCACCCCCUUCUAUAAGCUGAUGCAUUGUCCUCAGUGCAUAACUAGGAAAAUAAGUGAACAAUGAGAGUAGAGGCAUACCUGUGAUGCUCUAGGCACCGAAUGUAGACUCGCCCUCAAUCGGGGCGUCAGGAGACAUAGCAGGCUUAGUGCAAGGAGGUGGUCGUGGCUAUCUAGAUUAGGCUACCAACUAUCAUUGUUUGCACUCACUCUGUUUAAUAUGAUACUAAGUUAGUGAUAGAAGCCCUAUUUAAAUCCUACUUAAAUUCAUCAAAACUACCUCUCGGCUCUAUAGGCUAUCGUGCUCUCUUACCCGUAGCAAUAGGGGGCUCAUUAUCAUCAUCGAACAAAUUAAACACCAAGGGUAGUGGUAUAGGCAGUAGAUAUGGGAUGGGUGGUGUAAUUGGGGGGAUGAUAAAAGUAUGGUUGUCAACUAAUGCACAAACCUCAUACCUCAAUGUGGCCAUCUCUUCCAUCAGUCUAGAUAAAUUAGGAACUUGGGCCUCGCAUAGUCUCUCCCCUAUCCAGAUCUCAAAGUUGUUGAUCCUCCCAUGUAUCUAUCUCAUAAACCACGCCAUUGCAAUCAUUAUUUAGCCCUCAACCCGCUUCUCAUAAGUCUCAAAAGUGGUGCACACUCAUAGCCUAAUCUGAGUCAGCAACUUUGCCAACUAGAUGUUUGUGUUAGUUUGGUGCUCAACUAGCUUUGUCUGUCUUUCCUCCAAACUUUAUAAAAAUUCAUAGGAUGUCGUAACCAUACCUGAGGUAGGAGAAUGAUGGGGUAUUACAGAUAUUAAAUAUAGAACUAAAUUGCAUUCAACCCUCUCUCUACCUGCAGGAGUUGAACCCUCUGUCUACUGACUACUUAUCUCAUGCUUACCACCUAGUGCCAGUAUAUCUACCUGCUCGGUCUACUCCAAGGGACCCUUAAAUAAUGAUGAUCCAGAUAAGGUAGAAUUUUGUGCCUUUUUCUAAAAAACUGGGUUGGUAUAAUCUCUAGUCAACCCCAUAUCCACAAUCCCCAUCACCUCAAUCCGAUGAUCAACACUCAAUAAUGCUACAACUCCCGCAGCAUCACGCAAUCUUUAAAUCAAACAUGGUAAUGGUAUACCAGUAAUAUCUUAAAAGUCCCACUCAUGAAUCACAUCUUGAAUGUACUAGGCAAAAUUAAUAUUCAGCAAUGAUGUUGGUCACAAGAACAACUCAGCCUAGUGUAAGAGAAUUACUAGCUCUAGUCGAACACAACCUGUUCUAAAGUAUAGACCACUAAAACUUCCCUGCGAAGUGCAUGGUAGACUUGUAAAUAUCAUCCAUCCCCUCGACCCAAGGGGAAUCAACUCCAUGCUUAAAAAUAUAACGAGCAACCCGACUCAACAAAUCUUGCUUAUACUCUAGAUCCUUUACAGACUCCAUCUUAUAACCAAUAUCUGCAGUAGUCACAGACAUCUCAUGUCCAUGCCCAAAUAGAAAUCUUUGAGUCAUCCACCUAAAUAUAUUAACCCAAGUACCCUCACAAAAGUAUGGGACAAUAGAGGUUGGUCCCGAGAUAUCUUCCUCGUAAGUGUAAUCAGGUUUACUGAUGUGGCAUAUGAAGCAUAAAACUCAUGAACUAACUCCAUACUAUAAGAUUUGAAAGGCUCUCCAAUCCAUCAAAGUCUGUAUCUGUUAAAUAUAGCCUUUAUGUCAAGUAUCCCUACCAAUUCAAUUUUCCUGAUUAGGGUUCCUCAUCUAUGUUCCAUCUAAACCCACCUAGCUCAAUUGGAUCAAUAUCUCAAUCAUAGAUAUCUUUCAUGUCUUGUACACACCACAUUCUAUUUUCUUAGUAGAGGUAUGUGUGGUACUUUGUACCUCUGUAUCAGAAGCUAAUGCAGUACCAUCCUCACCAAAUUAUGAAGACUCUUCUCUCUUAUCAGACUGGGGAGCAUCCGUAUCUCUCUCAUCAUUACUUGACUCAGCUGAUUCCAGCCCCUCUUCAACUAGGGAACAGAUGUGUCCACCUCACCAUGACUAGAAUUUGAUACCCUCUCCCUUAUUAGACUGGUAAUAGGCAGAUGAAUGAGGUGGCAAUAUCUGAGCAUUUUUCAUCUGAGGCUUUUUCUAUGAAAUAGAAGCUAGUAGAGCCUGUGGCCUAGGUUGGGUCCUAACCUGUAGGGCAAGCUGAGGUACAGGUUGUAUUGCAGACUUAGCUGCUGCUUCUCUCAGCCUUAGUUGCUGCUUCCCUCAGCCUUAGCUACUGCUUCUCUUUGAGUCUAACACCGUGUAUAGUGAGGUAUCCAUAGGGAAUCACCCAUCAAAUACUCUUCGAUGGACCCUUUUCAUUCAGAAGACUCAUCUCAAAGUCUGUAUUGUGGGUGCUAGGCUCGAGCCCUUUCACUAGGACAACCCUUCUUUUGUAUUUCCAUUGUCGGCAUGGUACCUAUGUUAAGUAGUGUAGCACUCAAAACACAUAAAAUGGAAAACACUUAAAAUUAUUUGAAACAAGUAUGUCCUAUUCAUGAGUGUAGUCCACGACUCAUAGACUAGGUUUACAACUCGCGGACUAUUCUUGUGAACUUUAGUUUUUAAUUCACGAUUCUAGUCCUCGACUCAUAGAAUAGGUUCACGGGUCACGAACCCAGCUUGUGAAAGUCAAACAAAACUUCUGAGCUUCUGAUCUCAGGUCAGAUUCCCACAAGUCCAAUCCACGACUCAUAGAUCCAGUUCAUUGGUCGUGGGUUGGAUUUAUGAGUUCAAACUUGAGAAUCAACACAUAAAGCUCCAAAUUUUCAAAUUCAAUUCCUAUAAAUUUUUACCCAAUUAGUUCAUAUUCGACCAAACGUCACAACUCCGGCCAUUUAAUUCAUAAUGGUUUAAUUUAGGGGCAAGGAAUAAUAAUUUUAUCCUUACUUGGGGUAAUAAAGAUUUAACCUAAGACAAUCAAACAAUCAUAAAUUGAGUGAACAUACCUAUACACAGAUGGAAAUUUUUAAUAGAGAACAAGUUGAUUUCGCACUAAGGAGCCUCACACAUGUGGUAAUAGGAUUAAUUAGGGUUAAUCACAGUAAAGGUUUAAUAGGGUUUUGUUUUGAAUAGGAAAGGAUCGAAUAUUUCAAGUUAGACUUAUUUUUAUGGGUUUUAAGUUAGAAUAGAAUCAGGUGUAGGGUUUUAUUUUGAGUUUCUAGGUUAGGUCGUGUGGGUCACUUAAUUUAAAUAAAGAUUAACAGUUAAAUUAUUACAUGGGCCCACGAAAUCAACCCACGAGUCAUAGAUUUGACUCAUAACCCAUGGGUUUGUCUCGUGAGUCAUAUUCUAAGACCCAAGCCAUUCUCUGAUUUUCAUGAGAUCGGCCCAUGAGUUGUAGGUAUGAUUCAUGACCCAUAUGCUAGGAUCAUGGGUCAUGCUUUGAGAAUAGGAAAUCCACUUUGAUUCUCAUGAGUCCAAUCUACGAUUCAUAGACAAGAUUCAUGACCCAUAGACUCUACCCAGGAGUAGACAUACCUAGAAUUUUCUAAUUUUCCAUUUUUUUCUUAUGUCAGUGAUUCCUGCAUGCUUCUUUACUUGAGAAAAACAAAACAAACUUAACAGUAAAACCUUGGGUUGCCUCCCAAUAAUGCUUGAUUUAACAUCACGACAUGAUGUGGUUACGUUGGAUACUCAGACUUCAACAAAAAAAACCCAUGGACUACCUCCCUCAAGAGCCUAAUUAAUGUCGCGGUAUGACCGAGAUCCCUUGACUACUCAGACUUCAUCAAGGCUCAAAUCCACACAUAACUAAAUCUCUUCUAUAUUUCCCAUAUAAUUCUUAAUAUACAGUCCGUUCACCUUGAAUGGGACAGCACCACUUCGUUAUAUCUCAAUUGCACCAUGUGAAAAUACCCUAACCAUGGUGAAUGGUAUAUACCAUCUAGACUUCAACUUGCAUGGAAAUAAGUAAAGUCUCGAAUUAUGCAACAAAACUAAAUCACCGGGUUGGAAUUCCCUCUGUUCAAUUUUUUCUAUCAUGGUAUAAUUUCAUCUUUUCCUUGUACAAGGUUGAACUCUCAUAGGCACGGAGGCGAAACUCAUCCAUCUCAUUCAUCUUAUCGAGUCUUAUGUGUGUUGCAUCACUCCACUUAAGAUUCAGCUUUUUAAGUGCCCAUAGUGCCUUAUGCUCAAGUUCGACUGGUUAUAGGCAUGAUUUACCAUACAUAAGCUAAUACGGAUAUGCACCAAUAGGAGUCUUGAAUGCUAUCCAAUAGGACCAUAAUGCAUUGUCUAGCUUUCUAGAACAAUCAGUCUUAUUGGCAUUCACAGUCUUCUCGGUUGGAGACCUCAACUUGCCCACUAGUUUAAGGAUGGUAUAGUGUAUCCACCUUAUGAUUCACACCAUAUUUAUCAAGUAAGGCUUUGAAAAUAUGAUUGUACAAAAGUGUGAGCCUCUAUCACUCAUUUCUCGGGGUGUAUCAAAUCUAGAGAAAAUAUUGUUCUUUAAGAAUGCAAUGACGUUCUUACAUUCGUUGUUUAGAAGCACAAUUGCUUCCACCCACUUUGAAACAUAUUCCAUAACUCCAAGAUAUAUUUCAAUACAAUGUGAACUCAUAAAUGGGUCAAUAAAACUAAUACCCUAAACAUCAAAUAACUUAAGCUCAAAGAUGGGUGUCAUACAAAGCUUAUGUUUUUGUAAAAUAUUACCCUGCCUUUGGCAUUGUUCACAAGUAAUAGCAUAAUUAUGUGCAUCCUUAUAUAUAGUAGGCCAAUAGUAACCACAUUGCAAAAUUUUGUACGCAAUACGAGUACCUUCAUGAUGACCCUCAAUGGGGGAUAAUUACAUGCCUCUAAAAUACUCAUCAUUUCAACCUCGGGAGUGCUCCUCCUAGUAUACCAACAGCACACUCCAGAAACAAUUACAGCUCUUCCUAAAAUAACUUCCUCACCUCAUGCAUAAAUCAUUUGUGUUGUUGAAAUGACAUAUCUUCUAAGAUAAGGUCACUCGCUAAAUAGUUAGUGAAAUCUGCAAACCAAGGUAUUAAGUCUUAUGAUGCUGCCAAGACUUGCUCAUCUAGAAAAGAAUCAACAAUUUCAAGCUCAUCCCCUAGUUUUAUCAUUGCUUUCUCCUCUAGGCAUGACAAAUGGCCAGCAACAUGGUAUUUGGUAUCCUUCUGGUCCUUAACCUCAAAAUCAAAUUCCCACAACAAAAGUACCUAUUGAAUCAACCUCGACUUUGUGUCUUUCUUUGUCAUGAGGUAUCUUAGAGUUGCAUGGUCAGUGUGCAUAAAGCCACCACUACAAGCAACUCUUCUUUAGUCACCGUAUAAUUUUUUUGUGCAGGAUUUAGUGCUUUGCUGGUGCAGUAGAUGGGAUGAAGUAUCUUUUCUCACCUUUGGCCUAGGACUUCUCCUAGUUUCAUACAACUAGUAUCACAUAUCACUUCAAAUGAAAAAAUUUGAUUAGAGUACACAAUAACGGCAGCUAAAGUCAACAUCUCUUUUUGGCACUUAAAAACCUCACAGGAAGCAUCAUCAAAUACAAAUUUCACCACCUUCUCUAACAACAUUCGUAAUGGAUUUGUAAUUUUAGAGAAAUCCUUGAUGAACAGCCUAUAGAACCCAGCAUGACCUAAGAAACUCUGAAUGGCCUUCAAAAAAAUUACUAGAGGUAAUUUUUCAAUCAUGUCAAUUUUAGUCAUGUCAACUUCUAUCCCCUUUUUAGAAAUUUUUUGCUCGAGCACUAUCCCUUCUUUGACCAAAAAUUGACACUUCUCCUAAUUAAGGACCAAAUUUCACUCUUUAUAUCUUUGCAAGAUAGUGGAAAAAUGAGCCAAGCAAUCAUCAAACAAAUUAUCCACAUUGAAAAUCAUCCAUGAAAAUAUUAAUAGUAUCCUCCACCAUGUUAGAAAAUUGGAUAUCAUGCAAUGCUGAAAGGUUAUAGGAGCAUUACAAAGACCAAAUAACAUCCUUUUAAAUGCAAAUGUCCUAUAUGGGCAAGUGAAGUGGUUUUUUCUUAGUCCUCUAGGACAAUAGAAAUCUGAUUAUACCCUAAAUAACUAUUAAGAAAACAAUACCAUUCUCUACCUAUAAGAUAGUCUAACAUCUAAUCCAUGAAUGACAUAGGAAAAUGGUCCUUCUAGGUCCAUGUAUUUAACUUCCUAUAGUCCAUGCAUACUCUCCAUCUAGUGAUUGGUCUGGUACGAACUAACUCGUUCUUGUCAUUGGGAACCACAGUGAUUCCACCUUUCUUUGACACACACUGAAUCGGGCUCAUUAUUUGAUAUCAACAAUCGAAUAAACCAAACCUAUAUCUAACCACUUGAUGAUUUAUUUCUUCACAACCUCUUACAUGGGUGGAUUAAAUCUACGUUGAUGCUCAAUGUUAGGUAUACAUUCUGGCUCAAGCUAAAUUUUAUGAGUAUAAAUUCCGAUGGGAUUCCUAAUUUGUUAUCAAUGGUCCAACCAAUAACCCUCUUAAACCUUUGCAAAACCAAUAUUAAGGCCUCAACCUGCCACUCUAAUACAUCCGAUGUAAUAAUAAUCCGCAAGGUAUUAUUUUCACCCAAGAAUUCAUUACACAAAUGAGAGGGAACUACUUUUAAUUCCAAAACUGGAGUCUCCUUAAUAGAUGGUUUAGCAGGUGGGGUUGCUCUAUUUUUCAUAUCAAGGUCCAACUUCUUUUCCACAUAAGAGUAUGAACCUCUUCCCAUAAUUACAUUCACCAUCUUGUCAUACCAAUCAAUACCAUCACUAUUAAAAUUCAUUAUCACAGAUACAAAUGCUUGAAUACCAAGUCGCUCCUUAAUAGGUGCUACCAAUGUAUCUUUGUUACAAUGUCUAUCAUGGAAACCACACUCAUAUCCAUUAGUUGCUUCACUGAUAGACAUCCGUUAAAAGGUAAAUUGCUCCUCAUUGAGUCUGAACUUCAUCUGUCUUAUCUCCCUGUCAAACAAUGCCCUACCCAUGGAUAGAAAAGGUCCUCCUAAUAUGAUAAAGACCUCAAAGUCAACCUCACAAUAAAGAAUCACAAAAUUAGCUAGAAAUAUGAAAGAGGCUACCUUUACCAACACAUCACACAAGAUACCGAAAGGCUUCUACGCAGUAUGAUCUGCCACCAAAAGUCUUAGAGAGGCCAGUUUUGGCGACCCCAACCCUAAUUACUUAUAGACGACUAGCGGCAUCAAGUUUAUGUGUUCCCAGAUCACAUAAGGCUAGUGAAAAACUAGAAAACUCAAUAGUAUAAGAAAUGGUAAAUGCUCUGGUAUCUUCUUUCUUUUUAACUAAAGAUUGGGAGGCAAUGGCACUAUAUUAGUGUAAAUUAUUUGCGAGCUCAAAACUCACUAUCCUCUUCGUGGUCACUAAAUCUUUCAUAAACUUCACAUAACCAGACAUCUGCUCCAAAGCUUACAUAAGAGGGAUAUUCACAGACAACUCUUUCAGUAUAUAAAUAAACUUCUGAUAUUUUCCCUCUUCAGCUUUCUUCUUCAAUCGUUAGGAAAAGGUGAAGGAGGUUAGAAAAUGGGCUUCUAUAUUGGUAUGACCUUCUUACCCUUUUCUUUGUCAAUUUCGCUCCUUUUUUUGCAACUAUAGGCUUUUAAGAGGCCUCAUCAUUCAUCACUAAUUUUUUUAUUUCAUUAUCAUCCAUAUCAUCAAUGAUCACAGGUUCAUUCCUCGUGUCAUCAACCACUGGCAUUGGUGGAUCAAUAGUAGCCUUAUCGCUCUAAGUAAUGAUAGCUAGACAAGGACUAUUUUUCUUAGGAUUUUAAACAGUAUCGCUUGAAAAAUGUUUGGUUGGAGCUAAUUCAAUACGGAAAACAUCUACCAAAACUAUUGAUCAAGCUUCUUAAUAAUGAUUGCAUACGAAUCUACCUUUUGGAUCAACCCCAAAAUAUUUUCCUUAAUUUUCCUAAGGCAACUCUCUUAACUUUCCAAACACCUUACAAAUUUUUGUAGCAAUGCUUUCAUUCUUAAACUUCUAGAUUUAACAUCCUGGUUUCCAAGAGGAACAUAAAAACCACCCUUUUAUUUAUAAUUAUAUUUUCUCCUCUAGUCACCAUCACGCUCUCCACUCUUGUCCCUAUACCUAUCUUUAUAAUAGUUAUAACCUUGAAUCCCAUGUCUCAAGUCUCAAUUAUCUUGAUUAGACCCUUGGCCCUUGGCUUAAGAACCUGUCAUCUCUCGAUCAAGAUACUUAGCUUCUUCCUCAAAAUCUGAUGCUUCAUGUAUCAAAGCCUUACCUUGGGUACCCACUACAUUUAUAUUUUCUACUCUAACUUUUAUGAAUUUCUUGGUAAGCAAGCCAAUCUCAUUCUUCAGUUGUGCCACCUCUUGAUCCACUGUCUCAUAUAAUAGUCUCUGCUCAUUGGAGGCACCAAUAGAGUAAGUACGGGCUGAUCUAUCCACCUCCCGAGCAUGAAAUCCUCGGUUGGUUUUAGUGAUGGAAACUAACAUUUUAGAAGCAUUCUCCUAGCGUAGACUCAUGAAGGUUCCACCUGUGAUAGUAUCUGCUACAGCAAUAGUACUAGCAUCCAAGGAUCAGUGAUUUGGAAUACUUUGUAUCUUCUUGUUGAACCUCAAGCAUGUCUUAUAUAGUGUCUCUGAAUGUAACUAUCUAGAAUUAUAGAUCUUAUCUUGCAAUUACAAAAAUCUAGAGGGCAAAAAAAUUGGUCCAAGAAUUGAGUCUUUAACUUGUUCCAAGUGGUGAUAUAUCUAAAAUAAAACUCACCUAACUACAAAAUCACCUCCCCUGUCAAAGAUAAUGGAAUAAACUCAGUUGUACAACUUCCUGACUCAUCCCAAGAAGAUUAAAUACAGUGUAGAUCCUUACAAAAUUUAUAAUCUGCAUGCUUUCACCAUUAGUAGGAAAGAUAAUGAACACCCCCUUCAAAUUCAGCAACUGGAUUGUUGCACUCAUAAUAUCAAACUUGGUACCCAAGGGUAAUUCUAUAGGAAUAGUUAUACCCAUUUUAGUUAGCUCAACAUAUCCUGAAUAUUCUUCUAGAUCAUCAUACACUGACAGAUAUUGCUAGAUGUGUUAUUGUUCUCUGUUCUUUCUCAUUUUAUCCCUUGAAUAAAGUUUGGCUAGAGUAUCUUCCUCUUCAUUCCUGGAUCUCUCUUCCUCAACCGCUUGUUGAGGAGCUGUUUGCCUAGUAUUUUCCUCAUUCAUUAAGUGAGCAGUAACUUUUUCUACAGUUUUUAGAACAUCAUGAUAAAGUGGUCAAUUCAAUUUUGUUGGAUCACCAUAAACCCCUUUGAGUAGAUUUCCUUGAUCAUGAACUCCUUAUCUCUCCAUCUUUCAAUUUUCGAUUGGAGUUCUCUCAAGUUCAGGAUCAAAUAGAAUCAAGAAAUUUCCUUGACUUUGAGUACUGGGCAUACAUCGAUGUUUGCCCUGGAAAUAGUAGAAAAGAAAAAAAUUAAUAAACGAAACCAACAACUUCAACAAACUCAAUCUAUCAAUUUAUAAUCGUAUUUAUCAAAAAUGGUGUCAAAAUUUUAAUGUUGCCCAAAUUACACUACUCAAAAGUAUCAAGCUAUUGCUGAAUCAAAUAUAGAAUCCAAUCAGGUUAGGGCCGAUCCCUCGAGGAAUAGUCAAAAUUAUAUCAAGAUUUUGUCUACGUAACUAGCAAUUAAGAGGGGGGUUGUAAAAUAAAUUGUUGUAAUAACAUUUGUUGGUUGAUUUGAUUGUGAUCAAAAUGAGAUGAGAACUGGGAUUGUGUUUUCCAUGACUUCAUAAAUCCAUAGGUUGUUCGUGCUAGUAAACUAUCCUGAUGUCUUGUAUGCAAAAUCUAACAAGAUAUGUACCACCUAAGCAACUCUCGACCUUGGUCAAAUGAAUUUCACUCAUCUCCUCUGAGACUUAGAGCGUUGCAUUACUAAACCUUAUUUUGUGAUCUUGGAUUAACUAUCCCAAUUAAGACUCAAGUUAAUUAGAUGAAGGUUGACAACUCCAAAUUUUUAUGUUAUCUCCUUUUUCCAAUCUCUACUUCUUUUUCGAGAAAGUCUAGAAUACAGGUGAGUUCCUAACAUUCGCAACCAUUAAGAAAACAAUCAAAUCAAAGAAAAUUCCAAUAGAUUCAAACAUUGGUCUAGACUGUCUUUGCACUUAACCUAUUUUUAAUAAUUCAUCAUGGUUCCCACAAUUCUAGUUAUGGAGUUUUGCUACUCAUGAUCAUAAGAAUGCAACAAGAACAAAGAUGAAAGCAUAAUUGUGCACUUACAUGAAUAAGAUGAAAACCUAAAUCUUAAAUUAAUUAAACCCAAAAAGAUCAAUAAUGUAUCUAAGAACCUCUCAAUAAUGUAAAAGUGUAUAAACUAAUCAUAAAACACAAUUUGAGUAUUUGUAGAUACUAAACAAAUCCUAUCCUAAACUGUGUAGGAAAAUCAAGUCGGCAACUUCUACGACUCAUGGACUAAAUUCAUGGAUCAGACUCGUAAGUCGUAGGUAUCUCUUCAUGGAAAUCAGAUUUUGGAUCAAUUUUCAGAACAUGGUUCAUGAAUCCUACUCACUAGUUAUGUGUUGGAUUCAUGGGUCAUAGCUUGAGUUGUGGAAAUAAAAAAUUUAUCUUCAGCUUUAGAUACUAUUCACGAACCCCACUCAUAAGUCGUAGGUCCAGUUGCUAGGUAGUGGACCACACUCGUGAGUCACCAACUUCUCUUCACUUAGCAGAUUUUUCCUCUUUUUUCCCAAACUUUCCUUCAAAGCCAAUUUUCCUGCACAAAUAUCACAAAAACACAUCAUACCAAACAAAAAUACCUAAGUUCUUACUUAAUUUUCUUGAUUUAAGCAUCAAAAGUUUCAUGAAACCAUGGCACAUCAAUACUUCAAGGGACCUGAUAAAGUGCUAACUAAGUCUUGUUAUGUCUUUGAGUUUUUGUGUCUUUGCUCUUACAUUAUAAAUCUACACCUGAACUAUAAAAUAUAGUAUGUCAAUGGUUUGUUUGAGUCGUAUUAAUUAGAGUUAAUUGGUCAAGUCACUUUGUAUUUGGUCAAGUUUCUUUUCACAUUUGUUGAUGUCUUUCUUGGGUAGAGUUACUUAGGACUAUUUGUUAGAGUUUUAUUCAACUAGGGGUGUGGUAGAGUUACUGCAUCAGUCUUGUAGUAGAGUUAUUACAAGAGGUUAGGAUUAAGAAUUUAAUUCUUGUAAUUAUCAGAAUUUGUAAUUACUUUGUUACUUCAAGCUUAAUGAAGAAUUUUGGGUAAUCCUGAGAGACAGUUCAUAGUUUUUCCUCCUUUGAGCAAGAAGGUUCCACAUAAAUAUAGUGUGCAUUUUACUUUUCGCAUUGCCUUUCCUUUACAAUUGUAUUACCGCGUUUGUCUGAUAAAAGACCUAGUCCGUUGAUAUUUGAUGGACCCCUACGUUUCAACAGAUGUCUUAGCUUGUGUCCAUGAUGACUGUGAAACAACUACUUUGGCUAGUUAAACUCGAGUGUCUGUAAGUGUUUUUAGCAAGGAAAGAAGUACUUUUAGCUUCCUUCUUUUGACUGUCUAGAUUUUAAUCAUCCAGUGUCUGAUUCUUACUAGCCCAAUUUAUCUAGAUUCGUAUGAGAUCUCUCAUUAUGCUUCCUUGGUUAUCUUAUUAAGUGGAUAUAACUGGGAGAAAUUGUUGAUUCCAAAAUAAUGAAAUUGUUGAAGCAGGUAGUUAAAGAUGUUCCACCUAUAUCAAAUUACUACUGCAAUGACUUAGUGAAGUUACUUAUAACUAAUCUCUAGCACACCACUAACCAACUAACUAACCUACUAGUAGUCUUAGCUCACUUACUAACUGCCUAUAAAUACAUAUGUAUUAUGUACUAUUGAAUAACAACUUAAACACAAAGAAUUACAGUUUUUUGGCUAAUGCUCUAUGAUCAUCUAUGUUCUCUUUUUCCAUCUCUUAUCUCUUACUCUUCUAUCUUACUUUCCUACUUUCUUGCUUAGUUGUUCAUGGUAAUUACCAUUAAGAUCACCUAAUUCUUCAUUAUAUCAAAGCUCAUACUGAAUUGAAUCAGUAUGUGAGUCUCGAUCCUAGUUCUCAAUUGAAAACUGCACUUGUUCUUAAACUAAAGAACUACAGAAUCUGAGAGUUCAUUUAUCUUGUUAAUCCUCUGUAGUCAACUGCAAUGGCAACCAGUGUUGAUGGAAUUGGUACUUCAACUGUACCUCCAGUGAAUAAUGAAAAUUCCAGUACUGCAUUUCAGUUUGCAACUACUGCUCUGGAUAUCAAUCACCCUCUAUAUAUCUCAACUGCAGACAUUUCAGGUACUUCACUUAUUUUGUUCCAGUUACAAAGAAGUGAAAAUUAUGUAGUAUGGAGUAAAGCAGUUAGGAUUGAAUUAUUAGGUCGAAAUACGUUUGGAAUGGUUGAUGGUUCUUGGAAGAAAGAAAUCUUCUCUAAAGAUUUAGCUAACCGACGAGUCUAAAGUGUAUAAAAUUUUUGUUGCUCGUACUCUGUCAAAUUCUAGUAUAUAUCGUCCCACAGAGAUUGGAACCAUCUAGACUCCAAAUUUGUAUUAACUUGAUUACUAUUUGAAAGAAAUAAAUCGAUGAAAGGUGAGUUUUGAAUUAUUAAUUACUUAAUAUAAAAUAAACCACUUAAAAAGAUUUAUAUAUAUAUUUUAAAAGAGUUGGGAAUUGAUGAAUUCAGUUGAUAAUUUUAUUGUAAUAUAAUAUCAGUCUCCAUAUGUAUUUCUCUAAAGAAUAAUUGUUUAUUAUUAAAACAAUUAUAUUUACUCACUAAGAAAUAGAUAUUUAACUGGCAUUCCAUGAGGAUGUGUCAAUUAAAUAAUUUAAGAGUAGUGAUAGUUAAAUCAAAAUAUUCUCUUACGUGAAUUGUGCUAAAAGGUGUAAAGACCCCUUAUGAGUAAUCUUUAAAUCAAUCAACUUAUUUGAGACAAUCUUUCUGCGAGGAUACAGAUUGAAAGAAAUAAGAUAAAGACACCUCAAAUCAACAAUCUUAUUUGAGUCAAUCCCUUCGUGAGGAUACAAAUUGAAACAAAUCAGAUAGAGAUUAUUUAUAUCUACAAACUUGUUUUAGGCAAUCCAUCCAUGAGGAUAAGAAUCGAUAGAAGAAAGAUUAAAGAUUUGGAAUAAUAAAUAACUAAAAAUUAUUCCCACUCUACUAUUUCACUCAUUAUUUAUUAUAUAUUAAUUUUAUUCUAUGAGGAUAACAAAAUAAAUAUAAGAAUAACAUAGAGAUAAAAUAGAUAGAUGUGAUAAUAAUAAUAAUUAGAUAGAGGUUAUUAUCCUAACACAAUAUGAAGAUGUAAAUUAAUUGUGCAGGCGAAGCAUAUAUUAAACUGAGUUAAUAUUAUAAAUAUAUCAAGUUUCAUCAACUAUCCCAACAACAAAAAAAAAUACUCCAUUAUAGAAAAAUUAAUAAAGAAAAGAAAAAAAUAUUAUUCUACAAAAAAAAAAAAAGUAAACAAGACCAAUUCUUAUAUCUUGCUUAUGUUCUUGGAUGGUUAAUAAUCAAAGAAAUGCCUCUAUUUAUAGAAAAUUAUAAUGUUGCACCCACGAAUGCAUUUUUUGAAGUGCUGGUUGUAACUGUCAACUUGUAUAUUCUUCUCAAUUCUUUCACUUGACAAACAUGAGUUUUGAGGUGAUGAUAAUCACCUGUGAGCUUUUCAACUUCUUUCAAAAAUCUCCACACUUGUGGCUGUGAAAUUGUGGUUGCACUCGUGGAAUUCUCUUAUUUCUUUGAUAAUUUACUUCUUUUCUUGCAUUCUUCUUCCUGUAGAAUUUGUUAGAAAAUAUACAACAAUAUGAUAUAUUUUUUUAAAAUAAUUAAUAUUUAAUAUAUAAAAAUAUAUAAAUAAAUCUAUCCAUCAAAUACCCUCACACUUGAAUCUUUGUUCGUCCUCGAGCAAAGGACAAAACAAAACAACAAUUAAAAUUUUAAGUAAUAAAAUUAUUAAAUAGAAUAAAAUUCAAUCAAGACUGCAUCAUGAGUUCAAAUAAAUUUAGUCGCACUCAUAUUCACCUAUUGAGAAUCAAAAUUAAAUAUUUUUCCCAGUGUGUCUCACUAAAUGAAAAGAGAUGCCCAUAAAUCACACAAUAUAUCGAGAAAAUUGAAAAAAGGGCAUAGAUAAAAAAGUUCUCUCUCUCUCUCAACAAAGAAGUAUCUCAUGCUACUCGAAGUUCCAUAAGCUUGCCUAUUAGCCAAACUAGUUGCUUCACAGUCAUCAUGGACACAAGCUAAGACAACUAUUGAAACGUAGGGGUCCAUCAAAUAUCAAGGGACUAGGUCCUUUAUCAGACAAACGCGGUAAUACAGUUGUAAAGGAAAGACAAUGCGAAAAGUAAAAUGCACAAUAUGUUUAUGUGGAAACCUCCUUGUCUCUCCAAAUGAAAAGAGAUGCCCAUAAAUCACACAAUAUAUCGAGAAAAUUGAAAAAAGGUCAUAGAUAAAAAAGUUCUCUCUCUCUCUCAACAAAGAAGUAUCUCAUGUUACUCAAAGUUCCAUAAGCUUGCCUAUUAUGUAGUUCUCCACUAAUAUAGGAGUCUUUGAGUUGAGAUCAUGUAGGACUUUGGACUUUUAUAAGGUUGGAAUGUAGGUUUAGGGAUGGAUAGAAUGUAUAUGAAUAAAAGUGACUCAAAUCCCUUAUAAGCACCACAACACUUUAGCAUUUAAACAUCGUUGCUUUCCUACUUCUAAAAUAAAUCAACCUUCAUUUUUUUCUUCAUUUUUUUAAUCCCCUUUUUCCUCAAUUUAUUAUUUUUCAAGAAGUAGUUACAAAAAAAAUUUUGUAACUUUUUUUUAUAUAACAUUCUUUUUUUCAUAAUAUUCUUAAAAUACCAAUAAUCUAAACAAGAAUCAACGUUUACUUCUUUUUCUUAUAACUACUCUCCACACUAUUUUUGUAUUCAAUUUCUUAUCGACUCUAAGGGAAUAAAGUGAAUGAAUAGAUGUGAUAACAAAGAUUAAAUUUGAAUUAGAAUUUGGCUUAUCAAUAAAACAAGAGAUGAUUUAUUUAGGCUUAAGGGGAUGAUGAGGGAUAAACAUAAUUUAGGUAGGUCAAUUUUGGUCAUGACUUAACAAGAAAGCCUACUUUUUUUUCUCAACUCAAAAAUCAACCUAGUAUUUCAUCUCAAAUCACAUUCAAGGCAAGUUCUAGAUUUUCAAAUAAGCAAGAGUACUGAGCGAUAUCACCUAACAACACUAUACACUUGGGAUCAACAAAUAUUAUAAUUUUAAUUAUCAAUAAACAAAUAUGAAUUUGAAAAGAUAUUCAUAUAACCCAUGAUAGUCACUCAGUUUAUUUUUUAAAUUUUCUUUAUUAUAAUUUUCUUUAAAAAAAAUGUUCAGUUCAAAAUAUUACGACUAAAAUAUAUUGUGUAAAUAUAUAUAUUUCUUAUCCCCCACUUAAAUAUCAUCAUGUGUCUGGCAAAUAAUUUAAAAGCAAUAGAAGAAAAAAGAUUUAUUUUUUUAUCGGGAGCUUGUGAAUUCCACCCCCAAUUUCGAUUCAAAUUUUUUUUUUUGAUUCUUGAAAAUUCUACACAAACAUAGUUGACCAACAACAUUAUAAAGUAUUUUUUUAUUUUGGAUCAUCCAAUUUUUCUUGACCUUAUCUCAAGAAGAAAAAUAAUCGCGCAUGAUAAUUUUUAAUUUUAUUUUAUAUUUUUCACAAGGACCAUUCCCUGCUUUUUCCUGAAAAUCUCCUACAACAAAAUUCAAAAAGUUAUAAUGAUAAAAAAAUUGCAGAAUAAGGAACAGAUAAUAUUAUUUUUGUGCUUGUGACCUUUUCAUUCUCAUUUUUCUCAAAAUUAAUAAGUAUUAGGUGGAUUAGAAAAAUGGAAUAUGCAUUCGUUACUUGUUGAGUUGAAUUUCAUCAAAAAUUUAUACUCAUCAUGCUUUACUAAAUUAGUAUUUUCUUCGUGAGAAGUAUAUUCUUUUUCAUAAGGCUGUUUUAUUUCAUUAAUUAUUUCAUCCUUAAAGUUCCAUUUAAAAGUUCACCAUCACUAUAGGAGUUUACUAUGCUUAUUAAUUCAUUUACCUUCAUUGUUAAAUUCAUAGUGGCUUUAUAAUUAUAUGCAACUCUUUCAUCGAUAUUCUUAAAGAGAGUAUGCAUAAUAUUUUUCAAAUUCAUAUUCUCCUCUUAAAGUGGUUUACUCUCAAUCCUCUUGUGAGUAGUGAUUGCACUUCGAAUUGCAAUUAUAUUCACUAGAAUCAAUGUGCCUGAAAGAACUAGAAACAACUUAAGAUUGUUCAUACGAAGAAUCAAAGAAAUAUGAAUUACCUGGUUGACAUUCAUGAACUAGGUGACUACCUCCACAAUAUUCACAAGUAAUGGAUCUUUCACAAAUUUUGUUAAUUAAUUCUUCAAGAUUGUUCAUUCUCCCAGAAUUAGAAAAGAAUAAUGUAUUACUUGUUUGGCAUUCAAAGCUUCGAUGGUUGCUGCCACAAUAGUCACAGAUAAUAACCUUUUGACAAUAUUUUUCUAUCAACUAAGUAAAAUUUUUACUUGAUUGAUUGAAAUUCAUACUUAAAGUGUUGCAUAAAGUGGGUUCACAAUGAGAAAAAAAAUAAUAUUUUUUUAAAUCUUGCUUCCUGGCACUAAUUAGGUGCUACAAAACAAAAUACAUGAAGACAAAAAAUAGAAAUAAUAAUUAAAUAUAUUAUAAUAUAAUAUAAAUUAAGAUAAUAAUAAUAAUAACAAUAACAACAAUAUCUUCAAGUCUUAUUUUUGAAACUUGACAAGUAUUAGAAUAUAAAUUAAUUGAAAAAAAAUAGAAAAAUAAAAUCUCAAAGUAAUAAUAAGACAAUUAAUUUGAAGUAGAUGUUUACCAAUCCUCGGCAACAGUGUCAAAAAUAUGACGAGUCCUAAGUGUAUAUGAUUUUUGUUGUUCGUACUCUGUCAAAUCUAGUAUAGUUUAAGAUAUCAUCCCACAGAGAUUGGAAUCAUCUAGACUACAAAUUUGUAUUAUCUUGAUUACUAUUUGAAAGAAUUAAAUCGAUGAAAAGUGAGUUUUAAAUUAUAAAUUACUUAAAAUAAAAUAAACCACUUAAAAAGAUUUAUAUAUAUAUUUUAAAAGAGUUGAGAAUUGAUGAAUUCACUUGAUAAUAUUAUUAUAAUAUAAUCUCAGUCUCCACAUGUAUUUCUCUAAAGAAUAAUUGUUUAUUAUUAAAAAAAAUUAUAUUUACUCACUAAGAAAUAGAUAUUUAACUAGCAUUCCAUGAGGAUAUUUCAAUUAAAUAAUUUAAGACUAGUGAUAGUUAAAUCAAAAUAUUUGUGUUGAAAGGUGUAAAGACCCCUUGGGAGUAAUUUUUAAAUUAAUAAACUUAUUUGAAACAAUGUCUCCGCGAGGAUACAGAUUAAAAAAAUAAGAUAAAAAUCUCUCAAAUCAAUAAUCUUAUUUAAGUCAAUCCCUUCGUGAGGAUACAAAUUGAAACAAAUAAGAUAGAGAUUAUUUAAAUCUACAAACUUGUUUUAGUCAAUCCCUCCAUAAGGAUAAGAAUCAAUAGAAGCAAGAUUAAAGAUUUGGAAUAAUAAAUAACUAAAAAUUAUUCUCACUCUACUAUUUCACUCAUUAGUUAUUAUAUAUUAAUUUUGUUCUGUGAGCAUAACAAAAUGAAUAUAAGAAUAGCAUAGAGAUAAAAUAUAUAGAUGUGAUAAUAAUAAUAAUAAUAAUAAUAAUAAUAAUAAUUAGAUAAAGUUUAUUAUCCCAACACAAUAUGAAGAUGUAAAUUAAUUGUGCAGGUGAAGCAUUUAUUAAACUGAGUUAAUAUUAUAAAUAUAUCAAGUUUCAUCAACUAUUCCAACAAAAAGGAAAUUACUCCAUUAUGGAGAAAUUAAUAAAGAAAAACAAAAAAAUAUUAUUCUACAAAAAAGAAAAAAAAUUAAACAAGACUAAUUCUUAUAUCUUGCUUAUGUUCUUGGAUGAUUAAUAAUCAAUGAAAUGCCUCUAUUUAUAGAAAAUUAUAAUGUUGCACCCACGAAUGUAUUCUUUGAAGUGGCGGUUGUAACAGUCAACUUGUAUCUUCUUCUCAACUCUUUCACUUGACGGGUGUGAGUUUUGAGGUGAUGAUCAUCACUCAUAAACUCUUUAACUUCUUUCAAAAAGUUUCAUGAUUGUGGCUAUGAAAUUAUAGUUGCACCCGUGGAAUUCUCUUAUUUAUUUAAUAGUUUCUUCUAUUAUAUUCUUCUUCUUGUAGAAUUUAUCAGAAAAUAUACAGUAAUAUGAUAUAUUUAUUUAAAAUAAUUAAUAUUUAAUAUAUAAAAAUAUAUUAAUAAAUGAAUCCAUCAUAUUGAUGUGGCUGAUGAAUUCAGUGUCUAGUAACCUUCUUGGAGGGGUAGUACAUGCCUCGAAGGCUUGUGAUGUGUGGAUGGAUCUUAAAGAAAGAUUUGAUAAAAUAGAUGAUCAAGAACUUACAAUUUGCAUCAAGAAAUUGGAAUUGUGUCCCAAGGUGUUCAAUUUGUUUCUGUCUAUUUCACUAAGUUGAAAGACUUAUGGGAUGAUUUUGAGUCUUUAGUCCCAUCACAUGCUUGUAACUGUGAAAAAUUAAGAGAUUUUUUAGCUUAUAUUCAAAGGCAAAAGUUGUAUCAGUUUCUAAUAGGAUUGAAUGAUUCAUACUCACAAGCAAGAAGCCAAAUUUAGUUAAUGACCCUACUACCUACUGUUAACAUGGCUUACUCCAUGAUCAUAAGUAAUGAGAAUCAAAAGUCUAUGGCUCUAUCAGUAUAGAAAAUAAGUCUUCUUGGUUCUUCACCUACUACAAUUAAUGUUGUUGCAAUGUACUCUAGAACUGGAUAUCAAGGUGGUUAUCAGAAGGGAUAAGGGAACUAUGUUUCAACUAAUAACCCAAAUGUUAUUUGUGAUCUUUGCAAGAUGAAAGGUUACUAUAAGAUGGAUUGCUACAAGUAAGUUGGAUAUCUACCAAGUCAUCCAAAACAUGGAGAUCAAAGAGUCAACAAUGACCUCAGAAGUGGCUUUAAUAACAAAAUUAAGCAGAGAAAGAUUGCUUCUAGUGCUCAUUAUGUUGUGGGUGAAGACUAACAGUUGUAGCCUCAAUAGACUCAAUCACAUGGUGCUUAUCAGACUUUACAAAAUUUACCAAAGGAUGGGAUAGUUACACAAAAUUUCACACCUGGAUGGUAUGAUCAAAUUUAUAAAUUACCGGAACAACAAAAUCAAGUUUCAGUAUCUAUGCAGUCUACUACUGCAGCAAACAUAAUAGGUAUUGGUAGUGCCCUAUCAGUCAACAAUAAACCACAUAAGUUGAUUAUUGAUACAGGUGCUACAAAUCACAUGACAGCAGACAUUAAACUUCUAAAUGAAGGUUUAAUAUCUGAGUCAGUGCAUCCAUAAAAAGUAACAUUGCCUAAUGAUGAUAUGUCACUUAUUACACGCACUGGCUCUAGUAGUAUCUCUGAUAGGAACACUAUACAAAACUUCUGUGUGUUUCAAGAUCUUUGGAGUGGGAAGGUGAAAGAGAUUGGUAGAGAAAAGAAUAGAUUAUACUUUCUACUGAAACAAAAGCUACUAGGACAUAACAGAGUAGUUGACUGUGCGCUCAAUGCUAAGAUAACAGAUAAAACAAACCUUCAACUAUGGAAUAAGAGGCUUGGACAUGUUCCAUAUAGAAUACUGUAUAAAAAAUUUCCUAAUAAAAUUGGUUCUCCAAAUGAUUUCAUCAAUAAAUGUAGUGUGUGUCCUCUAGCUAAGCAAGUCAGAUUGGCUUUUCCUGUUAGUACUACCACUAUCCUUAAACCUUUUGACCUUCUUCAUAUGGAUCUAUAGGGACCAUAAAAAGUUCCUACUUGUGAUGGACACAAAUUAUUCCUUACUAUAGUCGAUGACUUCACUGGAAUGACAUGGAUAUUCGUGCUUAAACUAAAAUCUGAUGUUGUAGUUAUUCUUAAGCAUUUCUUAUCUUAUGUUCAUACUCAGUUUGAUAUAUAUGUAAAAGUUAUCAGGAUAGAAAAUGGAACUGAGUUUGUUAACAACUCAUAUAUUGAUUUGUUUGCAAACUUAAGGAUAAAAUAUCAAACCUCCUACUUUUAUACACCCCAACAAAAUGGUGUGGUUGAAAGAAAUCACAAGCAUUUAUUGAAAGUGACCAGAGUUCUAAGGUUUCAAGCUAAUAUACCUUUAAAGUUUUGGGGAUAUUGUGUUCAAGCAGCAACAUACUUGAUUAAUAGGCUUUCAUCUGUUGUGUUAGGAUAUAUGACACCUUAUGAGAGGAUGUAUAAUAGAAAACCUUCCCUAGAUCAUCUAAAGGUAUUAGGAUGCCUAUGUUAUGUUAAAUUUGUCAAUGAGUCAAAUAAACUAAUGCCUAGAUCUAGAAAAGCUGUUCAUAUGGGAUAUUCAAAAACAAAGAAAGGUUACAUUCUCUAUGAUAUCACUAACAAAAUUUUCUUUAUAAAUAGGGAUGUGGUGUUCAGAGAGGACAUAUUUUCAUUCAUAACUGAUCUAGGUCAAUCUCCACAACAUGUGUUUCCUCCAUAUGAUCCAGAAGUGGAAUAACCUAAUAUCACUGAUGUGACUAGACCUCAACCUAAUGUUGAUCUUCAACAGCAAGCCACAAGUGACUUCACUACAAAUCAACCAAGUACUACACACAGUCAAACAGUACAACUUACUGCACAGGACCAUCAUGUACAACCUGUUCCAAAAAGAUGAAUAACAAGAUCUAUUACCAGACAGUAGGUUGCAAAACAACCUAUCACAACAUGGAUCACCACCAGAUUACAACUAGUUGCUCAACAAGAUCAAAGAAAAUCUACUAUGGGUUCAAAUCCACCUACAUGGAUGAAAGAUUUUGUAUCAUUAAUUAUCAAUGACAAUGUUUUAUACCCUUUAUCUGAUUAUGUUUCUUAUGAUAACAUAUCUACUAAGUGUCAAUGCUACCUAUCUAAUUUUCUAACCUUGUGGACCCUACCUCUUAUACAGAAGCAUUAAAGAAUCCCAGAUGGGUAGAUGUUGUGCAAACUGAAGUAGCUAUACUUCAAAAUAAUAACACCUAGAAAGUAGUUGAUCUUCCAGCAGGAAAGAAACCUAUAAGGUGAAAAUGGAUCUACAAGAUCAAGUAUAAAGCCUCAGGAGAAGUAGAAAGAUUUAAUGUAAGAUUGGUUGCAUAAGGUUUUAGUCAGAAAAAAGGCAUAAACUACCACAAAACAUUUAGUCCAGUGGUGAAAAUAGUCACAUUGAGAACAAUUCUGGCAAUAGCUGCUGCUAGAAACUGGCAUAUUCAUCAAAUAGAUAUUUUCAAUGCUUUCCUACAAGGAAAUUUAGAGGAUGAGAUCUACAUAGAGCUCCCACAAGGAUUUAGAAGUCAGGGGAGAAUAAACAAGUAUACAGACUUACUAAAUACUUGUAUGGAUUGAAACAAGCACCAAGAUAGUGGAAUACAAAGUUCUCUCGGGUAUUGAUCAACUGCAAAUUCAGGCAAAUCCAAUAUGAUCAUUCAUUAUACAUUAAGGAAAUCAGUGAUAGAAUAAUUAUUGUACUAGUAUGUGUUGAUGAUAUAAUAGUAACUGGGGAUAAGCUAUAUCAGGUAAUGAAGACAAAGAAAGCUCUUCACAAAGCCUUCAAGAUGAAAGACUUAGGAGAAUUGAAAUACUUCCUAAGUAUUAAAUUUGUAAGGUAUAAACAAGGGAUUGUGAUGCACCAAAGGAAGUAUGCACGUGAGUUGGUUUCAGAAACUAGUCUUAGUACUGCUAAACCUACUCCCACACCUUGUGACACUACAAAAAAACUAACAACUAGUGACUAUGAUCAACAUGUUCCAUCAGCUGUAAGGCAUAAUGAUGAAACUCUAGCUAACCGAGGAAUGUAUCAAAGAAUAAUAGGGAAGAUUUUAUAUCUUACAAUACCAAGACCAAACAUAGCUUAUAGUGUUUAGACUCUGAGACAAUUUUUGUAGAAUCCAAAACAUCUCACAUGAAUGCAGCACUCGAAGUUAUUAGAUAUAUAAAAGGAAAGCUAGGACAAGGACUUCUGAUGUCUAGUACAAGAAAAGAUAUUCUUACAGCUCACCGUGAUACAGAUUGGGCAGCCUGGGUCUUUUCUAGAAGAUCUAUUACUGGUUUCACUAUUAAACUAGGUGCUUUAGUAGUUUCCUAGAAGUCAAAGAAGAAUCAACUAUCUCAAGAAGUUCAGCUGAAUCAGAAUACAUAAGUUUUGCCUCAACAGUUGCAAAUUUUACUUGGCUAAUUAGUUUAAUAAACGAUCUCCCAGUACCACUACAAACACUAGUUACCAUCUUUAGUGACAGCAAAGCAGCAUUACAGAUGGUUGCAAACCCAGUUUACAAUGAAAGGACCAAAUAUGUAGAAAUAGAAUGUCACUUUGUAAGGGAGAAGAUUCAACAAGGACUGAUCAAAACUGAAUAUCUAUUUACUCAUGAUCAAGCUGCAGUUGCUUUUACCAAAGGCUUAACUAAGGUCCAACAUGAAUAUCUAAUAUCCAAACUUGGCUUUAUAAAUCUCUUUAGGGCCAAGUUUGAGGGUGAGUGUUGAAGCAGGUAGUUAAAAGUGUUUCAACUAUAUCAAAUUACCACUGCAAUGACUCAGUGAAGUUAGUUAUAACUAACCUCUAGCACACCACUAACCAACCAACUAACCUACUAGUAGCCUUAACUCACUUACUAACUGCCUAUAUAUACAUAUGUAUCAUGACCUAUUUAAUAACAACUUAAAUACAAAGAAUUAUAAUUUUUUGUCUAAUGUUAUAUGAUCGUCUCUGUUCUCUCUUCUCCUCUCUUUUCUUACUCUUCUCUUUUACUUUCUACUUUCUUGCUUAGUUGUUCAUGGUGAUUACCAUUAAGAUCACCUAAUUCUACAGAAAUAACAUUUACGAACACCUUUAUACUCAUUAUGACUCAUAAUUAUCAAACAAUAGGAGAUAAUAAAAAGAAAUAUUCAAAGUCUGUGAAUUUUUAGUGCUUCUACCCAUUUUAAGUUGUCACAAACUAGUCUAUUCUAUGAGUGAAUUGCUUAAUUGGUCAUUUAAUUAUAACAAAUUUCCUAUUAACUUAUGUUUGUUUUCUAGCAACAAACUGACUCAAACUUACAAACCUUUUGAUGUACCUUGUAAACAAAAUGAGUGAAUUGUAAUACAUGAAAAGAAAAAGAACGGGUAGUUAAUACACCUCGUUUUUAAUCUUGAGGUUGUGAGUUCGAGUAGUCAAGGAACAAAAAAAGGUGCGAGCUUCUAGGGAAGGGUAAAGUAGUCAAGGGACAAAAAGGGGUGCGAGCUUCUAGGGAAGGGUAAACAUACUUAAAAAUGAACAAACCAACAUAUUCAGUGUGAUCCCAUAGAAUAUGAUACGAAAAUGGGAGAGUGCACGCAGAUUGUGUCACUACCUUAGAAGUAGAGAGACAGUUUUGAUAGACCUUUGACUCAAGUAAACAACAUUCCAAAGUAGUAUAGAUAAAGAAAAAACUAAAGUGGAAAUAGUCAUGACUAAAAACUAUAGAUAACCUCACAAAUCAUCCUAAAGACUAAAAAACAUCCUAAAAAUUGAAGUGUAAAAACUACAACUUAUAACUAAACUCAAAGGACAAGAUCACAGUAGGAGAAAUACAAUUUCUAUUCUGACUAAUAAUACCAAAUAAUAAGAGAGACAAUGACCAACAAUCUAACUAAUCCCCUACCCUAAUUCGUGUGGUCUGAAUAAUUUUUUGUCUAAGUCAUGUCAUCAGUAAGCUGAAGCUACAUCGUAUCCUGACUUAUUACUUCUCCUCAAUACUUUUUCGGUGUACAUUUUCCCUAUUGAAAUCCUCUAUAGCCAUUAAAAACAAACCAAAAAAGAAGAAAAUACUAGCUCAUGCAAAGCACAGGAUACACUAUCUUAUUGGGUUCGAAAUCAAUAGGGCGUCAUGCGGAAGUUUAAAGUUUGCAAACUAAUAUGAUGAUAAUUCAGAUGACACAAAAUUAAACUAAAAAAAAAAUAAUAUUAUUGAUAUGGUUUGGCCAAUCGGCCUACAAUUUAAAAAUUAAAUAAAAAUAUAAAAAAAUUAUGAGAGAAAAUCUCCCCAUAAAUAGGACUCUUUAAGGACUAUAUUGUGGAUGCUACUAGCUAUGUUAUGAUAUGAUAAAGGGGUCUUCUAGUUAUAAAGUUUCAAAACCUUUCCUCCGAGGUUGACUGAAUAUGAAAAAGAAUUAUAUUUUCUUUUCAGAAAAAUUAAAAGAAAUUAUAGUAUUACUUUUAUUUUCCUUCUAAGAAAAAGUAAAACGUAAACUUGGUAAAAAAAUCAGGGAAAACCCCCUAACAAAUCUCCCCUUUUUGGCUUGAUUUUCUUCACUUGAUCCACCUUUUUACAUCACAUGCAUCAACUUCGUUCUUGAUAUAAUCUUCAUAACUGCUACUUGUCAUGGUUUAAAAUAAAGUUUACAAUAUUAUGGAUUAAAAAUGGUUUAAACAAUAUCUUAUUUUUAUUUUUAAAGAUGCAGCAGCAGGAGUGUUGAAAAUAUGCUCUAAACUUCUUCUCCACGUGUUGGUGGACAAAAAUUUCAUUAUCAUCCAAUUGAUUGCAAAUUGAUUAGAACCGCCUUAGACUUGUCUUCAACCUCGUUUUACCUAACCACUGGAUCUUUGAACUGUAGGCUCUGAUACCACUUCUCGGAUUCAAAAUCGAGAGGACGUCAUGCGGAAGCUUAAACUUUGCAAACUAAUAUGAUAAUAAUUCAGUUGACACAAAAUUAAACUAAAAAAAAUAAUAUUAUUGAUAUGAUUUGGUCAAUCGACCUACAUAUUAAAAACUAAAUAAAAAUAUAAAAAAAAAACUAUGAGGGAAAAUAUCCACAUAAACAGAACUCUUUAAGGACUACAUUAUGGAUGCUAUCAUGUUAUGAUAUUAAAAGGGGUCUUCUAUUUAUAAAGUUUCAAAAUCUUUCCUUCAAGAAAAAGGUUAAUCAAAUGUGGAAAAGAAUUAUAUUUUUUUUUUCAGAAAAAUUAAAAGUUAUUAUGGUAUUACUUUUAUUUUUCUUCUAGAAAAAAAUAAAACAUAAACUUAGUAAAAAAAUCGUUAAAAACCCUAAUAUCUAGCUUUUGUCACAAACUAGUCCAUUCUCUACACCCUUCAAUUUUUUUUCCCUUUAAUUUUUCUACAGACAAGUUUAUAAGAUAAUGAGUAUAUUAUAUCAACUUGAAUAAUAUAAUGGAGUACAAUUAUGCAAUCCUCAAUAUAUUAAAUAAACGUAUAUAACAGUAAACUUUUGGGAAUGUGCUGUGGACAAGUUGGGCUGCUUAUAGGCUUAUAGCUGCGACCGGCAUUAUCUAUAUUCAAAUUCAAUAGCUGUAAAGUUUACAGUAAGAAUUAUAGACUAUUCGAUCCAGCUUUUAAAAUUCAUUUAUUAAAAAGAAUAUUUUUUUUAUUAAAAGUAUUUUUUUAAGAGCAACAUUUUGUAUUUGAAUAAUUAAUUAAUACUUUUCAUCAAUAUUAAAGCAACAAUUUGUACUUGAUCAAGAUUUUGAAAAUCUUUCUAAAAAAGUUAUAUCUUUAGUAUUUGGAAAAUAGUUUUCGCACUGCUUAAAAACACUUCUUUUUGCUAAAAUUUAACCAAAAAUUUCAACUUUCUAAAACAAUCAGCUCUUUAAAAAAAAUUAAAAAAAGGAAAAGGAAAGCAAGAUCAGCUUGCCAUAAAACCAAAUAGACUUUGAAAUCUUAGAAAAUCAGGCGUAUAAGGGAUACAUGGAGCUAAAAUAGGGAUUACGGAUUUGCGUGAACCCAUCAGUUCUCGUCUAAAUUUAGGAAGUAUUCAUUUUAAGAAAUUCAGCCAAGUAAACAACAUUCCAAAGUAGUAUAGAUAAAGAAAAAACUAAAGUGGAAAUAGUCAUGACUAAAAACUAUAGAUAACCUCACAAAUCAUCCUAAAGAUUAAAAAACAUCCUAAAAAUUGAAGUGAAAAAACUACAACUUAUAACAAAAAUAAAAAAACCAGCACAAGAUCACAGUAGGAGAAAUACAAUUUCUAUUCUGACUAAUAAUACCAAAUAAUAAGAGAGACAAUGACCAACAAUCUAACUAAUCCCCUACCCUAAUUCGUGUGGUCUGAAUAAUUUUUUGUCUAAGUCAUGUCAUCAGUAAGCUGAAGCUACAUCGUAUCCUGACUUAUUACUUCUCCUCAAUACUUUUUCGGUGUACAUUUUCCCUAUUGAAAUCCUCUAUAGCCAUUAAAAACAAACCAAAAAAGAAGAAAAUACUAGCUCAUGCAAAGCACAGGAUACACUAUCUUAUUGGGUUCGAAAUCAAUAGGGCGUCAUGCGGAAGUUUAAAGUUUGCAAACUAAUAUGAUGAUAAUUCAGAUGACACAAAAUUAAACUAAAAAAAAAAUAAUAUUAUUGAUAUGGUUUGGCCAAUCGGCCUACAAUUUAAAAAUUAAAUAAAAAUAUAAAAAAAUUAUGAGAGAAAAUCUCCCCAUAAAUAGGACUCUUUAAGGACUAUAUUGUGGAUGCUACUAGCUAUGUUAUGAUAUGAUAAAGGGGUCUUCUAGUUAUAAAGUUUCAAAACCUUUCCUCCGAGGUUGACUGAAUAUGAAAAAGAAUUAUAUUUUCUUUUCAGAAAAAUUAAAAGAAAUUAUAGUAUUACUUUUAUUUUCCUUCUAAGAAAAAGUAAAACGUAAACUUGGUAAAAAAAUCAGGGAAAACCCCCUAACAAAUCUCCCCUUUUUGGCUUGAUUUUCUUCACUUGAUCCACCUUUUUACAUCACAUGCAUCAACUUCGUUCUUGAUAUAAUCUUCAUAACUGCUACUUGUCAUGGUUUAAAAUAAAGUUUACAAUAUUAUGGAUUAAAAAUGGUUUAAACAAUAUCUUAUUUUUAUUUUUAAAGAUGCAGCAGCAGGAGUGUUGAAAAUAUGCUCUAAACUUCUUCUCCACGUGUUGGUGGACAAAAAUUUCAUUAUCAUCCAAUUGAUUGCAAAUUGAUUAGAACCGCCUUAGACUUGUCUUCAACCUCGUUUUACCUAACCACUGGAUCUUUGAACUGUAGGCUCUGAUACCACUUCUCGGAUUCAAAAUCGAGAGGACGUCAUGCGGAAGCUUAAACUUUGCAAACUAAUAUGAUAAUAAUUCAGUUGACACAAAAUUAAACUAAAAAAAAUAAUAUUAUUGAUAUGAUUUGGUCAAUCGACCUACAUAUUAAAAACUAAAUAAAAAUAUAAAAAAAAAACUAUGAGGGAAAAUAUCCACAUAAACAGAACUCUUUAAGGACUACAUUAUGGAUGCUAUCAUGUUAUGAUAUUAAAAGGGGUCUUCUAUUUAUAAAGUUUCAAAAUCUUUCCUUCAAGAAAAAGGUUAAUCAAAUGUGGAAAAGAAUUAUAUUUUUUUUUUCAGAAAAAUUAAAAGUUAUUAUGGUAUUACUUUUAUUUUUCUUCUAGAAAAAAAUAAAACAUAAACUUAGUAAAAAAAUCGUUAAAAACCCUAAUAUCUAGCUUUUGUCACAAACUAGUCCAUUCUCUACACCCUUCAAUUUUUUUUCCCUUUAAUUUUUCUACAGACAAGUUUAUAAGAUAAUGAGUAUAUUAUAUCAACUUGAAUAAUAUAAUGGAGUACAAUUAUGCAAUCCUCAAUAUAUUAAAUAAACGUAUAUAACAGUAAACUUUUGGGAAUGUGCUGUGGACAAGUUGGGCUGCUUAUAGGCUUAUAGCUGCGACCGGCAUUAUCUAUAUUCAAAUUCAAUAGCUGUAAAGUUUACAGUAAGAAUUAUAGACUAUUCGAUCCAGCUUUUAAAAUUCAUUUAUUAAAAAGAAUAUUUUUUUUAUUAAAAGUAUUUUUUUAAGAGCAACAUUUUGUAUUUGAAUAAUUAAUUAAUACUUUUCAUCAAUAUUAAAGCAACAAUUUGUACUUGAUCAAGAUUUUGAAAAUCUUUCUAAAAAAGUUAUAUCUUUAGUAUUUGGAAAAUAGUUUUCGCACUGCUUAAAAACACUUCUUUUUGCUAAAAUUUAACCAAAAAUUUCAACUUUCUAAAACAAUCAGCUCUUUAAAAAAAAUUAAAAAAAGGAAAAGGAAAGCAAGAUCAGCUUGCCAUAAAACCAAAUAGACUUUGAAAUCUUAGAAAAUCAGGCGUAUAAGGGAUACAUGGAGCUAAAAUAGGGAUUACGGAUUUGCGUGAACCCAUCAGUUCUCGUCUAAAUUUAGGAAGUAUUCAUUUUAAGAAAUUCAGCAAUUAUGACUCAUUUAGAAUCCAAUAAUUUAUAAUAAUUAAAUCUCAAAUCUAUAAUCUUCAAAUUCUGACAUUAUUAUUGAGCAACAAUAUAAUAAAAAUAAUGGCAUUCUUAAUGUAAUUCCACGUUAAGUGUACAACAUAAAAAAUAAGGGUAACUUGGUGCACUAAACCUGUUCGCUAUCUACAAGAUUCGAAAAAAAACCAAACCACAAAAAUUUAUACCAAAUGUAGUUUUACCCUACUAUAUUUCUCCAAUAGAUUAUUUUAUUCUAUGAAUCCCUUUUUGUGUGUGUGUGGCAUUACCAUUCACUUUGACAACAUUCUUUAAUCAUGUUGAUCACAUAAUAACCAAUCUUCCAAUUAUGCCAAACUCUCUUUCAACAUAUUAAAAUACAUAAAUAGUACAAAAGUUUUUUAAUCAUUCUCUCUCUCUUUUUCGUACAUGUCUAUAAAAUCUGAACAUUUACGCACCAAAUCCUACCUCACCCUCAAAACAAAGAAAGAGAGAAAAAGGGGGCGAAAACAAUGAGGAACCAAUUGUUACUUUGGUUCAUUUUAGGUGCUUUUGUGUUGACCACUUUGAAUAGUGUUCAUGAUGUUUUAGCUCACGAAGAAUACAUUCGUCUUAGGAAACAACAUGGACAUGGUGUUGAUCAUAUUCAGCAAAUGGAACAACCAUUAUCAGGAAUUCAAAUCCACAAGACCGUUCUUGCUCUGACUAAAUCUGCAUCCAUUCAUGUUGCAGGAUCUAAUCUUCUUGGCUCCAAGGUAACGUUUUCUUGUUUCUCUCUUCUUGUUCACCUCUCAAUAAUAUUACUCUCCAUCCCAUUUUACGUGUCAUCAUUUUCUUUUUUGUUCGUUCCAAGAAAAACGUUAUCUUUCCUUAUUUGAUAACUAUUUAAAAAUGCAAUUACACUUUUACCCUUAUUGGUCCCACUUACUUAAAAAAAAGAUAGGAGCACCUUUUUUAAUAAAGGUUAAUUUGGUAAACAUUACCAAGUCUUCUCUUAUUUCUUAAACUUCGUAUUCGAUCAAAUGACGACACAUAAAAUAAAAUGGAGGGAGUAGAUUAUAAAGUAGUGUUGGAGUCAAAAAAUUCGUUAAUUAUGUUCAAGAUUUAGAGCCUAUUUGAAUGGACUUAUAGAUUAUGAUUUAUAAGUCAAGAGCUAAGAUUUCUAAAUUAUGGCUAUUGAUUUGGUUUUGUUAUUUUAAUUUAAAAAUAAGUGCUUAGAAGUACUUUUUAAACUAAUUAUAAACUACAAAAAUAUUUAGAAUUUUAAUUUUAAACACACUUAAAAUAAGUGGAAUCAAAUAUACUUGAUCAUAGAUUUCAAAUAUAUUUCAAUUUAAUUGAAUAUCAUAUUUGGAAUUUACAAAAAUUGAGGAGGAAAAUAAGUUUGUAGGACCUUUCCAAAUUUAUGAAAUAAAGUGAAUACUAUAGUAUUUAUGUAUACAAAUUUAGGGAGUAUUUAUUUUAAGAAAUUCAUCAAAUAUGUAUAAAUUAUUACUUAUUUAGAAUUUAAUAGCUUAAAAUAGUUAAAAUCUCAAUUCUAUAAACUUAUAAUUCAAUUAUCAAUUUAUAGACAAAAAGAAAAAAAGAGCAGCAAGUAUCAAAAAUCCCUGGAGAAAAUAACAAAAACAGAACAAAGAAAAAAGCCAAAAAACUAUAACAGACUCUAUACUUCCAAACUCAUCUCUCUGCUAAAGCCAUUUUUUCAUGCAAACUUUCACAAACAUGUGUCACUCUUCUCCCAAUGGGUUUUUCUCCUCUCUUUCACAUUUUAUUAACAGAGAUCAGCAUACUGUUCCGCCUUACUUUUUAUAUAAACUGACGGCCUUAAGUCAUUUAAGUAAGGCUUAGGCAACUAUUUUAUAAUGUGUAUAAACUGUUUUUGAUCACAAGUUUUAAAUAUUUUUUUCGUUAUAUUUUUUGUCCAAUCAAAUAUUAACUAUUAUAUAAAUUGAAAUAAAGAAAGUAUUUUUUAAAGAAAUUAUAAAAACAAAUUAAAAAACUCUAUGAUAUUUUCUUCAACAAGGUAUAAAAAGGACAAAUAAAGGUGAAAAUAUCGAGAAAGGAUAAAAGGAAAUCAUUCUUUCCCUCCGUUAGUUUAUUUGAUUCAUUCUUCUCGUUGCACUAAAUUAUUUAAAUAUGUUGCCUUAAGAAUAAAUAACUAAAAUUUGUCUACUUUAUUUUCUCUUCCUCUCCCCAAAAAACAAGAUGCAAUACUAAAUCUUUGCAGAAGUAAUAUCACAUAUAAUUGGUUGGAAGGCAUGUAAUUCAUGUAUAAAAUUAUUAUGAUGUUUAAUUUGCAAUGUAGAACCUUGUGGAUAACUUAUGAGGGAAUUUAUGUAUUCUUUUAUUAAAGAUAUAACGUGUAAAUAAAUAAUAUAUAAAUAACUAAAACUUGCAUAAUUAAUAUUCGCAUAAGAUAAUAGUACAUAAAUUUCCUCGUAACUAAUCUCUACAUUACUAAUACUUUCAUAACUGUAAUCAGCUAUCAAACAAUCCUCAAAAAUAUAUGACAUGCGUCUGAAUGUAUAAUUAUAUAUCGUAUAAGUACGAUUAAUCAAUGUGUAUUCUUACUUCUUCAGUUCACUUAACUAUAAUAGCUUUGUUCAUUUUUCUUCCUCUUAUCAUUUAUUCUUGUGUAGUGGAAUUAUAAUAUAUGAAUUUUUGAUGAUAUAUAGGGUGAAGAUGUUGAAUGGGUUACAAUAAACCUUCGGAAUGCAAAUCCUACAAAUGAUGAUUGGGUUGGAGUUUUUUCACCCGCAAAGUUCAAGUAAGUUUCUAUCCUUUUUGUAAGCCCUAUUAUUAUUUUUUUAAGAAAAUUAAUAAAUAAUUAUAUACAUAAUUUUAAAACUUCCAAAUAAUGCAUAAUGCUACUUCCGAUAAACAUUGGAGUAAGUGUUAAGAAUGCGUGACCUACCAAUUUUAAUACUUUACUCUACUGGUUGCCUAUCAGUGGAACAAAUAAGCUAACGUGGUUCACAGAAGUAAAACUUGAAUAUAAUAUUUUCACGUGGAAAACACCCGGCUCAAGAAAGGUAUAAAAAAUCAUGACCUGUACCUCUACAGGAUUUAACCCUAACUUCACUGUAACUCUUGAGCCUCAACAAUCAACAAAUAACAAGACUUCUUGUAAACUAGGAAAUAAAACUUCUAACUCCUAUUUCUACAAAACACUAAUCUUCCCAAUAUAAGUGUUUCCAAGUUUUCGAGUUCUCCAGCUUGAAGAUGUUAAUCCUAACUCAGUUUAUACUUCAUUGAGACUAGAGAUUACAACUCAAUUUGACUCAAUAACCAACCUAUUACACAAAGUCUAUGACUCUAAGUAAAGGACUAGGUUGUUUCACUGGCUUCUUUAAGUUGUAGAACUGAUUUGCUGAUUGAUGACUAUCUUUUCAGUGCAUGAGUGAAUCACUUGAUUGUCAUUUGUUAUAUUUAAGCCAACUCCUGAUGGAGUCCUUUAGUUGAUGUACUCUUCUAUAUUCAAUAGGACUCCCAGGUAGUUUCACUCACCUUUUGUUGUCGUCUCUCUCUCUCCUUGCUUGAAUAUGACUCUUCUCUUUUAUCUUAUAGUCUUUGCAGGACUUCUUGAUCAACUCAACUUCUAGAUGUUGCACUUAUCCUCUCUUUUGUAUCUACUUCAGCUAAUGUGAUAAGUGUUAAAGCAUGUUACUUAUCCACUUCUAUUUUUACGCAAUGUCAUCUUACCAGUAGUCUUGCCUGUGAUUUGUUUACUUGUGUGGAAUAGCUUGCACAACAUGUUUCAUUCAUAUGUCAAUCAUCAAAACUUCACAUUUCCUAACAAAUUCAUCCUUUUUGAUGAUGAUAAACUUAGCAGCACAGCAUCCAUUUUUAAAAUCCUAACACACUUGAUAAAAGAUUAAAAUAGAGAAUCACAAAAUGAAACAGGUUAAUCAUUGAGUUUUAAGUAUUGUAUAAUCUAUUCUUCCUCUUUUUGGCAUUAUCGAAAAGAUGGCUCCAACAAGUGAUAAUUGUUUAAUAAUUCAUGGCCACUGGGGCUAUCACUAAAACAAUCAAAACUCAAAGCAAGAGAAUAACAAUGCAUUAUGGAAAAAAUAGAAGCAGAACACAUUAAGCAAAAAGGUCCAUUUCAUUCAUAAAACAAGAUACAAUUAUCAUGACCCAGUAACAGCAAAAAAGAGAAACAAUAUGGACCAAGAGACAGCAAGGUAAAUAUGCCUAAGGCACUAAGAAGGGGUUUAAGUGGAUGAGGAGGAGAGAGAGGUCAGCUUCCUAAUAAAAUCAGCAUUCUCAGCUCUUUUCUUUUCCAAAGUGGCUGUGAGGGAAGCAAUUUGACUUCAAGGACCCGUUUAUCAUCCUCAUGAGCAGCCUAAGUAGCCUCCAAUGUAGCCUGAGCAACCUCCACCUCAUCCUGUUUUGCAGCCAGUGCAUUUCUCAAUCUUUGCACUGGAUUGUUAGCAUUCCUCAUAGCAGCAAGUAACAUGGUAUGGUUCACAGGUCCUAUAACAUCCUUUGUGGUCUACAGAGACUACACUUUGACUGGUAUAUGAAAAUCCUCAAAAACAGAUGCAAGCCAAAAUUCAUAUGGCAAGGCAUGACUAUUUACAUCUUGGACCAAGACCCUUUGCAUGUGCUUGAUCAUGAGUCGGGAAAGAUCUAUUGGAACUUGAGUAUCUAACUGUUCCAUCAAAGUAAGAUCAAGAAAAUUGGCAAUUGUUCUUCUCUCUUGUCUAUGAAGGAUCAUUUUGUGAACCACAUUAAAAUAAAACUGAUGAAGAGGUGUCAUCUCAUGUUUUAGGACCCUAUGAUAAGUGACAAGAUGAGGAUUUCCAGAGACUUUCGGGAUAUAUCAAGUGCAGAAGGAAGAUUAUAGAGAGAAAGCCAGGUUACCUUGACAUAAUGACCCCAUCCCCCAGAAGGAAUGCUCAAGAUUUGAGCAAGGUCAACAACAUAGAGAUUAAUGGUAAUCCCAUGAACAGUAGUUGAGAACAUCUCACCAAUGGCAACCCCAUUUGUGUAAAACUCAUAUACGUCAUCCCUUCCAAACUUACGUUGAUGGUCACCUUGAAGAAACAAGUGUGACAACCCCUGGGAUCUCAACUUAAAAACCAAGAUAUCCAUUUCAGGGCCCCAAAAACUAGUAACAACUCUACCCCUAGUCAACUUACGUUUUUUAAAGUGGAGAACAUGGGUUGACUGAGAAGCUUUGUUAGCAGGAGUAUCAACAUCAAUAUUGAAGUCAAGAUCAAGAUCAAUCUUAGUAGAAGGUGCAGAGGGAGUAUCAGGGAGAAAUUCAAAUUCUGAGUCAGAUGAGUCAGAAGGAACAGGUUUGUUACCUGUUUCUUCGAAUGUGAAGUGGACUUUAAAGAAACUUUGGAGGAUAAGGAGGCUUUGACAGUAGAGAUGGAUUUUGAAGAAUAGAAAGCCUUUGAAAUGGGUUGAAAGGAUGAUUUUCGAGGCAAGGAGGGUUUUGGGACUUUAGCAAUGAUUAUCUUUUCUUUCUUUGUGAAUGAAGAAGAAUAUCAGCAGAGGAAUCAUAAGGAGAUAGAGAAGCAGAAGUAGUUACACGUUUCCUUUUACUAGCUUUAAGUGCCUCUUCCAAGAAAGCAUCUUCCCAUUGCUUUUUACCCCGAGUAUGAGGAGUAGGAACAACAGGGGAAGAUUUUACUGUAGUAUCGUCAUCAACAUUGAUGGUGAUGGAAGAGGGUUUUCGUUUAGGCUUGGAUCUGGACCUUCUAGGGAUUAGGUCAGCAAUAGAAAUGUCAUCUCGAUCAAGAAUCUAGAGAGGAAUUGGAGGUGGUAGCGAGGGUUCAGAUGAUGGUAAUGGAUUUUGAAAAAAUUUGGGAAAGGGGUUCUGGAGGUUCUUGAACAUUGCAAAGUCGGACAGUUUAAUAGAAAUUGGGGGUGGAAUGAGUGGGGGUAAGGUAAUUUUUGGAUGAAGUAUAAUGAUGGUGGAGGGACUGGUAGUAGAUUCUAUAGAGAAAGAAGAUUAGGAAGACACUAUUAAAGAGGUUGUUGUGAUUGCGCAGAGAUUGAAGAAGUCGUGAAGAGUAAGUAGAAGGAAUAAGCAUAUUUAAGAAGGAAAGAAGGAAGAUGAAAUGUGAUGUGAAGUGUAUGUGGUGGAAGAAACGUAAUGAUUAAGGGGUUCAGUUCUGAUGGGAAAGAUCUGGCAUCCUUUCUGAAGGAGAAGGACUUUUGGGUUUUGGCGGUUUAAUUGUAACGGAAAGGAAUAUGUAGACAACCUGUUUCUCUUUAUGCUAUGAUGGGAAAGCAAUAAUCAUACCUGAGUUCUGAAUAAACAACGGACAAAAUUGCCUUGAUGCUCUAGUUUUUCUGCAAAAUCAACACAUAGCUGAGUCAAUUUACCCUGAAAUCUUAGAAUUAGGACACAUAAUAAAAAUGUGUAAGACUGAAUUAAUCAACAAUCACUUAAAAACAGCUUAUUCUAGUCAAUCAUUGAGGGUGAUUUAUACAAUUUUAAUCAUCCCUAAGGCUAACCUAUUUUUUUUAAAGUGUUCCCUACUCAAAACCUUAGUGAAUAUGUCAGCAAUUUGUUCCUCAGAAGAACAAAACAUAAUUGAUAUAUGACCUUUUUCAACAUUAUCUCUAAGAAAGUGAUGUCUAAUAUAAAUAUGCUUAGUUCGUUUAUGUUGAACAGGAUUUUUGGCUAUGUUAAUGACACUUGUAUUAUCACAAAAAAUAGGAACAUAGCCAACAUCUAUACCAAAAUCCACAAGUUGUCGCUUAAUCCAUAAUAAUUGACCACAACAAGAACCUGCAGCAACAUAUUCAGCUUCAGCAGUAGAUAAAGCUAUUGAAUUUUGCUUCUUGGUAGACUAGGUAAUUAAACAUGAUCCAAGGAAGUGUACCACGCCUGUAGUGCUCUUCCUGUCAACCAAAUAUCAUGCAUAGUCAGCAUCAGAAUACCCAGCCAAGUUGAAAUUACUACCUUUUGGAUACGAUAAACCAAGAUCACUGGUUCCUUAGAGAUCUAAAAAUCCUUUUUACAGAUUUUAGAUGAGACUCUUUAGGAUUUGCUUGAAAUCAGAUGAAAAUUAGAUGAAAAUUUUUCGUAUUCAUUUAUUAUGUUGAUAAAAUUGUGAUAUUGCAGUUGAGUAGAUCGAAGAGAAGAAAUCUAGUAUUUAACUAGUCAGAUUUUGCAAUUAUGGUGAAUUAGAAAUCCUUCUAGCUGCCAUUAUAACAACUUCUUCAAUUUAAACGGUGAAAGAUGAAUUCAUUUUGUAGUGAUCAGCAUUGCCACAAUACGCGCAAACAUGUUUGGAGAUGAGAUUUGACGUUUGGAGAUAAAGAAUUCCGUUGGGCUUUUUAUUAAUUGUAGAAGACAAUAUUAAUUAACAAUUAAAAAUAAUGACGUGUAUUAGACACUUGACACUUAAAAUAAUAAUUUUAAAAGGUUAAUUCUUCAACUCACGCCUAUUGGGGGUGUUCUCACCUCCCAUGAUAGGUCAGCAAUGGGAGAGGUAUAAAAUACAGUAAAAAAUGUUUAGGGGGUAAUAGGACUCUAGUAAAUGUUGAGUGUGUAGUUGGGAUUUUGACUAAAGGUUGGAGGGGUAAUUAACCAUUUUCUCGAUUUUCAAAUAAUACAUGUUACGCUUUUUGUCCAAACUUUUUUGUCAUUGAUAGGUAAUUAUAUUUUUAACUAUUCCAAUUAAGUGACACUGAUUAAUUUUGAAAGUCAAUCAAAUAUUUUAUAUUUUUAAAUUUUUAAGUUAAUUUUUAUGAUCUAUAGUAUUUUUUGCACUUUUUUAAAUAUAUAACAGAUUAAUUUUUUUUAGAUAUUUUAAGCUGUUAGAUAUUAUAAUUUAUAAUUCUUUUUAUUAAUUUUCAAAUAAUAUAUGUUACUCUUUUUGUCCAAACUUUUGUGGCAAUAGUCAAUUAUAUUUUUAAACGAAUUUAAGUUUUUAAAUACUGUGAUUUAUAAUUAUUUUUUUCUAUUUCAAUUUAAAUGACCCUAAUAUAAUUUCGAGAGUCAUCCAAAUAUUUUAAUCUUUUAAUUUUUUUAAGUUAUUAAUUAUUGUAAUUUACAGAAUUUAUUUUAUAUUUUUUGAAAUAUAUAUCAAAUUAAAAAAAUAAAACAAACAAAUUAAAAUGGAUGAAAAAAAUGAAGACAAGAGAAAGGACCAGUGAAGUUGUGCCAAAGUAGAUAGAUUGACCUUUAAAUUUUUUAAGUUGUUAAUUAUUAUGAUUUAUAGUUUUUUUUAACGUAUUUUUUUGAAAUAUAUAACGGAUAUUUUUUUUAUAGAUAUUUAAGUUGUUAACUAUUGUAAUUUAUAAUACUUUUUAUAUAAUUUCCAAAUAAUAUAUUUCUCUCUUUGUCUAAAAUUUUAUCGCAUUGAUAGUCAAUUAUACUUUUUAAAUAUUUUUUUAAUUAUUAUAAUUUGUAAUAUAUUUUCUUCUAUUUCAGUUUAAGUGAUGCAAUGCUUAGAUGGCCAUAAUAAUUAAUUAGGGAUGAUAUUGAAAAAAUUGCGACUGAAGCAGCGAAGCAGAGAUGUUUUAAAUGACUUAUAAUAGUUAAUUAGAAGUGAUAUAGUAAAAUUACUAUAAAAAAUUUAUGGAAAAAAAAAUAAGCGGGACUCAUAUAAGACGUCAAGUUAAUUUAACAUUAAGUAUUAUUAGUUUUUUAAUACUUAGAUGACUUUAUAAUAAUAUUUUAAUAUUAAUUUUUAAUACUUAGAUAACUUAUAAUACUUAAUUAGCAGCGCUGUGGUAAAAUUACGAUUGAAGCGGUUGAAGCAGACAUAUCAUAAAUAUUUGUUUUAUUUUUUUUAAUUAGAUAUUUCUCCCUCUGUUUAAAAAAGAAUGACCUAAUUUUACUUGACACGGAGUGUAAGAAAAUAAAGAAAACUUGAAUCUUGUGGUUUUAAAUUAAAGAUAUGUCAAAUGUAUCAAAAUGUCCUUCAAUCUUGUGGUCUUAAAUAUAUCACGUGGAAAGUUAAAAUCAAAAAGUUGUCAAAAAAGGAAAAGGGUCAUUCUUUUUGAAAUGGAUUAAAAAGGAAAGUAGGUCAUUCUUUUUUUAAACUAACAAGUAUUAAUUAUUUAAUAUAUAAAUAAUAUAUAAUAAUUAAUUAAGAAUGAUAUAAUAAAAUUAUGAAGUGAACUGAAUGGAGGACAACCGACAGCUGCUCAAACUCCGUCUUAUUAUAUAAGAGAAUUCAUUUUUCACUUUUUUAUGUUAAUCAUUAAUUUUUUCGGUUAAUUUUGCUAAACAAUUUGGGAGUAUCUCUCACGGACUUGGCACUUUUCACCAACCCAUCAGGAUCAGGAGAAUCAAGAGUAAAUAUUUACUUUUCACGUGACUUAAUUAUUUAGUAAAACCGUCGCGUAUUUUUGAAAAGGAAAAAGUACUAUGUACUUAUUUGAGAAAUGGAGCAAAUUAAUUAAGGGUAUGUAAUAUGUUUGAGAUACCAUUUCAUAAUAAAAUUAAGGUGUAAUUGAUUGUAAUUAAAUAAUCUCUAGGUUAUGUAGUUAUUAUUUUAAUAAUUACACAACCAAGUUAUUAUACGUUAAUAUCAUACAGUAAAGACAAUUUAGUAUUUUUAUUUUUUGAAAAAAAAAAAAACAAUUUGUGAUCCAAAUAAACCCUAAUAUGUUAAUCUAACGAGUAAAUGUUUCAAUUGCAGUGAAUCCUAUUGUCCCCCGGUUACCAUCGAUGAACAAAAAUAUGGAGCUCCUUUUUUGUGUACUGCCCCCUUAAAGGUAUCUCUAAAUUCAUUUGAUAUGUGUUUGUUCCAUUUGUUUCAUUUUAUGUAACAAAACAAUAUUUGUUGAAUUUAAGUAAUAAAAAUCGACACUAUAAAAAAUUCUUACCCCAUCAAGUCAUCUUUACCUUAGGUGGCUUGUUGAAAAAUACAUAACAUAAAUAUUUAUAUUGAUGGUAUAUACACUUCACUCUAUUUUGUUUGUUCAAUUCCAUUUUUUUUUUUUAAUUUGUACAACUUUCUAAAUUUUGCAACAAUUUAACUUAAAAUUUUCAAUUUUAAUGUAGGUACAUUUGAUUUUUUUGUGUUGUUUUUGUUACAGUUCAAAUAUGCAAAUUACCAGAAUGCCAAUUACACCAAGACUGGGAGGACUUCACUUAAAUUCCGUCUAAUCAACCAGCGUGGGGAUUUCUCCUUUGCCUUCUUCUCUGGUGGUUUGGAGAAUGUAAUUAUACUAUGAUGCUUCCCUACACAUUUCUAUUUUUUCCUUUUUGGUUAUUGAUAAACUCGUUCGAACCCUUUUGUCAAAUGUACUACUUUUGGAAGAUCCGAUAUGCACCCGUCAACAUAUUCAAAGAGUGCAAGCAACAUACAGAAGGCGUUGAUUUCUCACAUUGUCACUUAACUAGCUAAUAGUUAUUAUCUCAGAAACUUUCAGUGUCGAGGAAAAAAUGUAAACAAGAGAGGUAUUUCAUGAGAUAAUAAUUGUUAGUUGAGCGACCAUACGAGAAAUCAACCCGAUACAAGAGUACUUGAGCUUUGUAGGAUAUGUGUUAUACUUCAUGCUAAUGAUCAUUAUGAUUUAUGUUUGUCCUAUAUUUUGAAACUGUAACUUUGAUGAGACUUGGAUAUGGACUAAUUGAUUCAUGUGUUUUACAGCCUAAGUUGAUAGGCAUCUCAAAUUUCGUCGGCUAUGCCAAUCCGAAAGCGCCUCUUUAUCCGCGUCUUGCUCUUGGCAAGUCAUGGGAUAUUGUAAGUUCUUUUUUCUUGCUAUGCACUUAUUAACUCUUCUUCCUUAAGAUACAUUUGUGAUUUAUGAACCUGUAUAUGUUACGUGGGGUUCAAUAUCAAUAUUGAUUGUAGUAGUGUGUCGAGGUGAUCAAUUCAUCAAGUCCUUAAAUUGGAGUUGAUUCGUUAAUUCGAAUCCCCUUUGCUGUGUCACUGCAUACAAGUUGGAGAUUCGUGUUUACUUGUUAAGCAUCUAGUAAUCUAGUGCUCGUAUCAUGUCAUGAGAUUAACUUGUGUCUUUUUUAUUUCUCCUAGAUGACGGUCACUUGGACAAGUGGUUACAACAUAGACGAGGCUGUUCCAUUUGUCGAAUGGGGUUGGAAGGGCCAAGAGCAAAAGCGUUCCCCAGCCGGGACACUGACAUUUCAUCGGAACAGCAUGUGUGGUAUGAAAACUUCUAUGAAAAAAUGACUUUGUUGAGAUUAUUAGAUGAUUAGCUGCUAAGAUAUUUAUGUGCCAUGUCAGCAGUUAGUUGGAUGGUUUAGGAUGCUUAGUGGUAGAUUAGCUGGUGACAGCUGUGCAGCUAUGCACCUUAUUUCCGUUUCUAUAUAACUGAUAGGCUAGAGAUAUUUUCAUAUUCAUUCAGUUUAAUAUUCAUUCAGUUCAAUGAAAAAUCCCCAUAUGGGUUUUCAAUUGUCUCUCCCCCUUCUCUCUGUUUCAGCUAUUUUGCUCCCUUUAGGUUAAGAUUUCGUCAUGGUAUCAGAGAUAGGUUGCAAUUAUUGAUCAAAUUGCAGCUCGUAGUAGUUUGAUUUAGCUUGCAGAUUCCUAUUUUCGUGCAAUUUACUCCGUUCAUCGUCCAUUUUCUCUCCUCUAUAGUGAAAAUUUCGAUUUGAUUUGCUCAAAGUUAUCCAUCUAUGGAUGAAAACACCGAAAGUUAGGUAAAUUCAAGGAAGGAAACUACAGAUUCAAACAAUCCUUUAUACAUGCAUCCCUCUGAAAGUGCUCGAUCUGCGUUGGUCCCGGUGGUGUUUGAUGGAAGUGGAUAUAGGUCCUGGAGAUGAAGCGUGCUUAAGGCAAUUUCCGUGAAGAACAAAGUUGGUUUUGUUACUGGAAAAUGUAAGAAACCUGUUGUAGAAGACGCUAGUUACGAACAAUGGAUGUGCUGUUAUGAUAUGGUAACUUUAUGGAUCCUUAAUUCGCUCACGAAGGAUUUGGGAGAUAGUUUACAAUUCGUAAACGAUGCCAGAGAACUCUGGCAGGAAUUAGAAGAUCGAUAUGAUCAAACAAACAGUGCGAAAUUAUACCAGGUGCAGAGAGAGAUCAAUGACCUGAGUCAGGGAGCCUUAGAUAUCACUGGUUACUACACGAAGAUGAAAAAGUUGUGGGAAGAGUUCAGUGCCCUGACUACACAUGCAGAAUGUACCUGUCAUUGCACAUGUGGGGCUAAGAUGAGCAUGCAAAAGGCUGAGCAAGAUAGGAGGUUGAUUUUGUUUCUAAUGGGACUAAAUGAGGUGUACACCGUAGUGAGAGGGAGUAUGCUUAUGAUGAAUCCACUGCCCACUGUUGCACAAGCUUUUUCCAUACUCAUCCAAGAGGAGAAGCAACGGGAAGUUAGGCCAAGCAGCCAAUAGUUUUUGGAAUCUGCAUCUAUGUACGCAAAUAGAGCUAGUGGCAGUAACUCGAAGGGACAUUACAGUCACAAUCAGAACAACAUCAAUACUGGAAAUUUCAGAACAAACUACAGUGGUAACUCAAGUACUGACUAUAGAAAUGAUGGAUACAAUUCUAACAGACCUAGACCAUUUUGUGAGCAUUGUAGGAGACCCGGGCACACUAAAGACAAAUGUUUCAAGAUCCAUGGAUACCCACAGGGCCCUUCUUUUCCUCCUUCACAGGCUCCUAGGUACAACAAUUACAAUAAUAACAAAGGAAAACGACUUGCAGCAAAUGCAUAUGGUGAAAGUUUUGACACCGGAGAGAAUGAAUGUGGACCAAGUGAACAUGGAAGAGCAAUGCAACAUCUAACCAAGGAACAAUAUGGACAACUGGUCAAGAUAUUGGGUAGUUUGCAGAUUGGUACCAAUACAAAUGAAACUUCAACUUUGAAUGGCGAUGUACAUGGAGGAGCUGUAAACUUCGCAGGUAUUAUUGCUUGCUCUACUUCUGUUGAACAUGGGAAUCAAUGUAGUGAAUUGCCUAGAUCGAAUGUUGAUACUUGGAUCCUUGCUUCUGGAGCAACAAACCACAUGACUCACAACAGAAAAAUCCUCAUUAAUGCAAAAUCACUAAUAUAUCCCUUCCUAGUGUCUUUACCAAAUGGUUACAAAGUUAAGGUGACUCUAAUUGGUGAUGUUGUUCUUAGUCCAACCAUCACUCUAAAGCAAGUCUUAUUUGUUCCUUGUUUCAAGUUUAAUUUGAUUUCCAUCGCUGAUUUAACAGUUCAACUCAAUUGUGUUGUAGUCUUUACCAGAUUUUCAUGCCUUUUUCUACAGGGCCCUUCACAGAAGAGGCCUCUGGAGAUUGGUAGCACUAAAGGCAGUCUUUAUCUUCACUACUCAGAAUCAAGUCAAGCCAAAUCUAAUCCUUCUUCUGCUGCUUUGUCAAAUUCCACUGUUAAUUCAUGUUCUGGGGAUAUACAUAAAGUGUCUAAUUCUUUCAUUACUAAGUCUAGUUGUUCUACUGAUGUGUCAAAUUCCCUUGUGGUGUCUUGUAAUAAGUCUGCACCUAGUGUUUCCUCUACUGUGUUUCCUUGUAGUAAACUCAUCUCCACUUGUCGUAAGUUUGUAACAAAGGAUUCUAUUUCAUUUAAUGAAAGGGAUUUUUUUGUUAAUAAUGCAUCUUUACCUGCUGAAAUGGAUGUAAAUAUCUUAUGGCAUCACAGAUUGGGACAUGUGCCCUUUGUUAAAAUGAGGAGUAUCCCCUCUAUACCAGCCUCUUUUCCACAUAAACAACCUUUUUUUGGUCAUAUAUGUCCCAUGGCCAGACAAAGCAGAUUGCCAUUUCCCCAAAAGACUACCAAUUCUACUCAAGUUUUUCAGUUACUGCAUGUAGACCUCUGGGGCCCUUACAAUGUUGAAACCCAUGAUAAAUGCAGAUAUUUCAUUACCUUUGUGGAUGACUAUAGUAAAUGCACUUGGACACACCUACUUAGUUGCAAGAGCAAUGCCUUACACACUAUCAAAAUAUUUUUUUCUAUGGUGGAAAACCAAUUUAAUACUACCAUUAAAAUCAUCAGAACUGAUAAUGGUUUGGAAUUCUGCAAUCAUGAAUCCAAAAAUUUUUUCCGACUCAAAGGAAUUGUACACCAAAAGACUUGUCCCUACACAACACAACAAAAUGAUGUGGUGGAUAGAAAACACAAAUACCUCCUUGAGACAGCAAGAGCACUCUUCUACCAAUCCAAAUUGCCUCUCAUAUAUUGGGGUGAAUGCAUUCUUACAUCCACCUACAUAAUCAAUAGACUGCCCUCUUCUUCCAUACAUAAUCUCACCCUUUAUGAACGAUUAUAUAAGAAAAAACCCCUUUACUGCCACCUUAGGAGUUUUGGCUGCCUUUGCUAUCCCACCACACUCAAGAAUCACAAAGAUAAAUUUGAGCCUAGAUCACUUCCUCAUGUGUUUGUAGGAUACCCUUAUGGAACCAAAAGUUACAGGGUUCUUAAUCUAGCCACUAGAAAGAUAUAUGUUUCAAGGGAUGUGUUGGUUUAUGAAAAUAUUUUUCCUUUUGUUCUAUCUUCUGAUCCUAGAGACAUGCACUAUGAUUUUGGUAACUCUUCUUCUUUUCCUGUGUCUAAUUGCCCUUCUGUCGUGUCUACUGGUUGGUCUUGUCCCAAACCUUUUGACUAUGUCUCCUCUAACACAUCUCCUUCCUCACCACCCACUCACACCGAUCUUGAUAACCCUAUUGAGUCACUACAUUCCGGUCGUCAUGAGGAGUCACCUGAACCAGUACUUGAUAGUGAUUUGGGAUUUUCCUUGCCUGAUGAUACUUCCCCGAGUCACACAUCUCAUCAUACUAACUCCAGUACACAUAUUUCAUCCACACCUAUCAACAACGAUCCCUCUACUCCACACUUAUCCACUCUUGAAGUUGCUCCAAAUAGACCAUCUAGAUUACACAAGUUACCCUCUUAUCUGAAAGACUAUGUUUGUACUCUUCCUAGUCUUUACUCUGUUCCUAUCACCUCAACUAGUAACACUGCUAGUUCCCAUUCUACCUCACAUAGUCCCAGCUCUUACUUCUGCUCCCAUCUUUCUGCUACUCAUCACAUAUCCCUUAAUGCCUUGGAUCCUGCUAGUCAACAUUUGAUCAAAGCUGUUUCACUUGAUUGUGAGCCUAUCUCAUAUGAAGAGGCUGCAAGAUUGCCUGCUUGGCAAACAACAAUGAAUCAGGGAUUUGAAGCAUUUCAUGCUAACGACACUUGGGAUUUAGUCCCUCUUCCACAUAGAAAGAAGGCUAUAGGUUGCAAGUGGGUGUAUAAAAUAAAACACAAAGCUGAUGAUAGUGUGGAAAGACUCAAGGCAAGGUUGGUUGUAAAAGGGUACACUCAACAGGCUGGAAUAGACCAUACGGAGACUUUUUCACCUGUUGUGAAGAUGACAACUGUGAGGACUUUAAUUGGUGUUGCAGUAAAAAGAGGGUGGGACAUCUUUCAACU